rnacentral:lncRNA from 1 species
GCUGUGAGUUCUAUCAAGAUCUAUAUAUGGUUUGCUGUGUAUGCUCAAUCUCCCUAAAUUAUUAUUUUAUCUGCUAAAGUUUGCCAUGGAAAUCGACUCCAACAUGGCAUCAUAAUUGAUAGCAGCCAGCAAAACUUUGACCUCUAACACGUUUAUUUUCUAACAACAUCGAUAGUUCCGUCAUUAAGUUUCAAUCUUUUUUAUUUGGUUAAGGUGUCAUCGUGAUUGCCUUAUAAUUAUGUUCCCUGUGUUCUUUUUUCCCCUGGCAGGUGAAGAGUGAAUUUUGGGCUUUUGAGUGAGAAUUCUAUGUUUUUUUUUUUUGUUGAAUUUAGGAUUUUCAAGAGCCAAGAGUUUACUUGACUGAGAUCGCAGACUUGCUGAUUAUGGCAUGGACUAUUCUGGACAGAAAUAGCAGACCAUGCCUUCAGGCAAUUCUGAGCUCUUUUACUUUCCAAAAGAGAAGAUAGCAAACAAGAUCUGUGGCUGCUGUUGCACCGGGGCAUCCAUUCCUUUUCUUUCUGAGAUUCAUGUUGACAGAUUGUACAAUCAAACACAAAAUGCUUUAUUCAGUUUCUCGAUCACAGCCAAGAUUAAAUUCUGCUUUGUGUCCGUCCAUUGAUCUGUCCACUAUGUUCAUCCCUUUAUUUUUGUUUUUUGUUUCUUUGCAUUGUAUUGACAUUGAAACCAUUGCUCACAUCCUAUCUUCUUCUUUCCUUUUUUUUUCUUGGAUAAGGUUCGCAGAUACAUGAGGUGAUUAUGGUGCCGUGGUGAUCACAUAGUUGGCUUGCUCGAGAUCAACAGCAGAAUUUCCAUUCUGUUGGUUUUAAAUGAAUACUUUGACAGCUACUGUUAUGGAGAUGGAUCAAACCACUUAAUUUUUGUAAGUACAAUGUAAUUACUUUUGGUUUUAAAUGAUCAAGGAGGUUUACUUUGGAUCCAGUCAACCUUUUGGUUUUUCUGUGUAAUUGCUUUAAAGGAUCUGAAGCAACUCAUAAAACUGAUUUGUUGUUUCGCUUUUCGAUUUUGAUGCGAAGAGCUGUAUUUGGUAGUUUAAGACAUGAUUGAAAUGCAUGUCAGGUCAGGUCGAUCUCCUAAAGCAACAAUCACCAGUCAAUUCAUGGCUAUCCAAAAUGCAAGGAAACUCGAGUUUUUUCAAGUUAUCUCCAUAUUUUUUAACAAAUUACAGUGACAGUUUCACUUUAAACCCUAAUCACAAUUGAAAUUGCCAAGUGAUGGAUCAGACAUAUUUUGUAUUUUCUUGAACGCUCGCGAUCACAGUGGCUAAGACAACAGAAAAACUCAGCAAGAAGUCAAGGCCUAUACAUAACAAUGAGAACAGAUAGAGAUUUGAAUAUUUAAAUAAAGUAAUAAAAAUGUAUCAGUGCCAACUAAUAGUAAAAACAUAGCAGGCAUCCUCACCAAAUUUCAAUUAUGCUCGACAGCUCUUAUAUGAGAAAGUAAACGUGAGGAAUCAAUAUGGAAUUCCUUGAGUUGCAUACCAAAAUUGAAAUCGUAAAAGAACAUUUUUCUGCAUUUUGAUUCUUCUUCUUUCAAAUAUUAUUUUUUUCUUCUAUAAUUUCCUAAUUUAGCUAUGUAAAGGUCUUGUUUUUACGAGGAAAAUGUGUACUGGCAGCCAAGCCUAGCUUAAUAUCGUUUCCGUUUUGUUUUGUUUUGCAAAGAAAAUAAAACACUCACUUAUGAAGGUUUCAACGAAUUGGUGGCCUUGUUUCAUCAUCUCAUCACAAAUCCUAUUUAGCAUGAAGCAUAAGAUAUUAUUGAAAUGUUUUGCUUUUAAAAUCUUUAAAAACACCUGUCCUUAAAAAGAAUCUCUCUCUCUCUCUCUCUCUCUGAUAAAAUCAAUUUAGAUGUCUAAUAUUUCAUAAAAAAAAACAUGUGAUCCAAGCAGUUUUUUAAUUGAAUAUUUUGGCUUAAAAUCUAAUUCUUUUUGUUUUUUAGUCAUUGGAUUUAAGAGAGGAUAGAGUUGUUGAAAAUCAAAUAGGAGAUAGAAAUUUACUAAUGAUAUUUUUUUUUAUAAUGAAACUAGUUAUUUUUUUAUUUUAAUAAGUUUUAUUUGAUGAUGAAAGUUUUUUUAAAAUAUUGUUUUUUUUAUUUUUUUGAAAAAAUAGAUUGUGCUUGAAUUUUUUUUUUCUUUUAUCUUACACUAUAACAUUUGAAGCUCUACAUCGUUCUCUUUCACGUGGGAUAACAUGUGUGGUACUGUUACAAUGAUAGUUUAUUGUCCGCCACUCGAUCCUUUUCCUUUUCUCUUCUCUCUCCCCUUCCCUGUUAAAUUUUGUGUUGGCCAUUAAAAAAAUAUAAACCAUAUCAUCUUAUUUUAUGACAUUUCAAAGAAAAUAAUAAUUAUUUAGAAGAGGCUAUGUAUAUUAUUAAUUAAAAAAAAUUAAUUAAUCCUAAGGGGUCGAUGAACCAAUCAGACUUUGGAUUUGCUCCCUAAUGAUCACGAGUUCGAGUUCUCUCUGGACCACUGUAAAUUUACAUGGUCGUUAACUUUAAGGCCGGUAGAAUUAGUUGAAAUGCUUAAAAGCUAACUUGGAUAUCAAUGUUAAUAAAAAAAAAUUAAUUAAAAAGGUGGUUUAAUUGAUUAAUUAAACGUUUUGAAAUCAGCAUUAAUUCUAUCUGCAGAUUAAUUGAUAAGGUGGAGUGGAUUAUAGGUUAUGCGAACCCAAAACUUAUGUCCUUUAGGUGUUUGAUCAAAGUCUAAUAGAGGCUGAGGAUAAUGCGCUGGGAUUCUAAUGCCUUCAAUGUGACAUUGUGAGAGUUCAGUGUAAUAACGGUGGACGGGGGAUUGCAAUUAUAUGGUGAUGCUUGUAAGCUUGCAAGUAUCUUCAACUCUCUCUCUAGAAAAGGAAAAAAAAAAAGAUUUGUGCUCAGAAUAAUCAAAGCGAUUCUUGAAAUAAAAAAUAUAUUCGAUACAUUUUUAAACUCUUAAACGAAAAGUAAAAGCAUUUGCAACAUAAUACUAAAAACAUGCGAAAACUCUUAUUUUCAUUCUCCAUUCUCUUUCGAUUUUAAAUAACCAAUAUUUAUUACUGGAGGAGAUUUUAUUCUCUAUUAACAUAUAUAAAUAUAUAUAUUUUUAGUAUUAAAUUUAUUAGAAAUUGAAUUUUAUAUUUAUUUUUUAUGAGAUUUUGUUAAUAAAAAAAUUAAUUAAAAAGUUGUCAGUGUUAGAAUUUGACCAUAAAAUUAAUUAAAAGAGAAAGGAAAUUUGGUCGAUGCCUAGUUUAAUUAAACCUUUUGAAAUCAACAUUAAUUCUAUCUACAUGAAUUAAGUAAACUGUAUUAUUCUUCUAAAAGAUGCAAUAAACAGUGAAAGGACGAAUCUGAUGGCUUGUCUUUGUAAAGUAACGACAGACCAAGCGUACGAGGUAGUACGGUAUCUGUAUCAAAUCCAGGUAUCUGGAUCUAACAUUUAUGCCUGUAAUAAAUGAUGCAUUUUCUGUCCUUGUCUAGAUUUUGUCUGUUAGAAGCUGACUCAAAAAUCUGUUUUACAAUUUAUUUUUAUUCAAAAUAUUUAUAAAAACAUUUAGAAAUUAUGACAAACUUAUUUAUUUAUGACUUUAAAAAAUAAAAAAAAAAUAUUCUAAAAAUCAAAUUCAACCUGAAACUAAAAAUCAACCUGAGUUCAAAUCUGUUUAUUAACAAAUAUUUAAGGUAUAAAAACACCUAAUAUGAACCCUUCUUGUUAAAUUAAAUAAUUUAACACAAAAAAUUUUAUUUUUGAUGGUUUAAAUCGGUGUCAAUAACAAGUUUUUUUUUUUUGUCAAAAUUCAGCGACCUCUCUCUCUCAAUCAAGAACACAAAAAUAAUAAAAAUGAAUCCAUGUACCAAAAUGGAGUUUUUUAAAAACUUACGAUACACCAUCUAUAUUUGUCGUAUUAUUCAUUUAGAUCCCUUCUCUUCUAAUCUUAUUUUUUUCAUAAAAAUUUAAAUUUAAUUGCUUUUUAAAUAGUACUCAUGUCCAUAAACAAAGUCUAAGAAUAAAAAAAAAAAACAUUUUUUUUGUAGAAUGAUUGGUGUACAGUGAGUUCCCCUAUUUGUUUUUACGUUUCAAAAGUGUUUUUAAAAAAAAUUAAUUUUUUUUUUAUUUUUAUCUUUACUUCAAAUUAAUAUUUUUUUGGUAUUUUUAGAUUUUUUUGAUGUGCUGAUAUCAAAAAUAAUUUUUAAAAAAUAAAUAAAAAUAUUAUUUUAAUAUAUUUUCAAGUAAAAAAUACUUUAAAAAACAAUCAGAGUCAUGUUCUCAAACACAGCAUAAUAAACCACCGCAUUACUAUUUGCUUAUUCAUUUUGACAGUGGCUUUGAAUUUUUGGCAAAUGAGACUUGUUUUUUUGGCUGCGGGAUCACGAUAUGUGUAGGAUUAGUUAUGAUCCAAGAUGGUCACACCAACCUUGGUCACAAUCAAGUAUCAAUUUUUUUUUUAAAAUGACACGAAAUAUAUAAUAUAAAUUCAAAUUGUAAAAUCAUAAAAUUACAAGUAAAAUAUUUUAAAUAAUUAUAUAUUAACAAUUUCAAUCAAAUAGUAAUUAAUAAUAUAACAUAAUUAAAAUUAAAAUAAAAUAAACAAUAGAAAAAUUCCAACACCUUUAUUUUAUUCACAUUGAUUCCUUUACUUCUUGGAUAAAUCGAUUCAUUUAUUUUUUUAUUUACAAGAAACGAGUCUUUAAAUUUUGAUAGACCAUUUAAUAUUAAUUACUCCAAGGAUCAAUCAUGUUAAUUUACAACUUUUAUGAUAUAUAUUUGGUAGCUAAAACAGAGUAAUAUAUCAAUUGAUAUGUUAAUAGUUUAUACAAGAAAUUAUGAAGAAUGAAUAUGUAUUUUAAUUUUACGGAAAUAAAAUCCACAAAUAACUUGAAUCGUUAAAAAAAAGUUAUAAUAAUUAUAGUCAAAAUCAAGCAUUUGAUUAUGAAAUUGCACAAGUUUUACAAGAUAUAAAUUUAAAACAAUGAAAAUGUUAAGGUACAGAUUACUAUAAUAUAUAAUUUUAUAUUUUUUUCAAACUCGUAAAAUUGAUUUGAUUUUACCAAGUUUGAACGAGUUUAGCCAAUUUUACUAAUUUUUAAAUUUUAAUUUAAUUUGACAUAUUAGAUAUAUAUCACACAUAAAAUCAUAACAUUUUAAGAACAAUAUAUUUUUUUUAACAACAUUGUUCACAGCCCCGUUCAUGGUCAAUGAAAGAAUAAAUAAAAAAAGCAUUUUGAUUUUUUAGCGUUCCGACAAAAAAUCUAGCUGGGCACAACGUCCUUGACCAACGCGGGGGACAUGCCUUUGGCUGCAUCUGUUAUUUGGGUGUGGUUUCCUUUCAAGAGAGGAUGCAAAGAGUUAUGUUUGGGUGUGAUUUUUUUAUAUGCAACUCAACGAAAAAAAGCCAUUUUAAGAAAUAAACAAAAUUCUCGAAAGAAGCAGUGACGAAAGAAAGAAAAUGGUAACCAAGUGCAUCCUUGUAAGGGGGUUGGCGCAGCAGUAACAGGUUCUCUUUUUGAAGAAAAUUACUGCUGUGAGACUAUUGUUAAUUUUCCAUCUCAAGAAAUUAAGAAAUAUUAAUGUCCAAUUAUAAUGCAAGAAAACUUGUAUUCCUUCAAGACUAAUAAAAAGACAAUAAAAAUCCCAGUAUUAUUUUCGAAAAGAAGAAACAAAAUUGAAAUACUGAGACAUAUAAGAGAGUUUAAUUUAUGUUAGGUAACGUUUAAUUUCUCAAAAGCCAAAGCAAUUUCAUCGAGAAUAUUAUCUCACGAUCUGGAAAAAUAAAUAAGAAAAAAAAUAUCAUCUAAAAAUGCUUCAUGAGGGUCACAAUGUUUCAUUUUUUAUAAAAAGAAUAGAGAUAGAAGAUCAAAUAUAUAUAUAUUUUUUAUUUUUAUAUGUUUUUUGAAAUUAUUUUUAGUUCAAUACCUCUUUUUUUUUAUUUAUAAUUUUUUUAAAAUGAUAAUUAUCUUUAUAUAAAUAUAUAUUCUGAAAUCAAUUAUUUUUUAAGUGUUUUUUUUUAAUAUGAAUAUCUAAAUCAAUUUAUCUACUAAUUUUAUAAAUUAUAAAAUUAAUAAUUAUAUAAAUUUUUAAUAGUAUCGAGAAGACUUAAACUUAUAUCUAUAAAAAAACAAAUCUAGAAUCUUACUAUUUAGAUUUUAAGAUUUGUCUUUUUCAUCGUGUAGUAACCCCCGGUCCCUGUUAGCAGACUCCGAGACCGCGCUCGCAUAUUUUCUCCAAUGUGAUUCUACCUCUUUUACUAAAAAUAUGUCCACAAAAAAAGUGAACCAUCACCGAGGCAUCACCAACAAAAACACGCGCACAAAAACACCAAGACAUGCCGAGACAUGGCACAAAAGCACCAAGACAUGAUCAGUUCUAAUUAAGACAUGGCACAAAAACACAAGACAUGAGCAGUUCUAAUUAAGAAAUGCCACAAAAACACCAAGACAUCACCAGUUCUAAUUAAGAGCACACGAAAACACCAAGAUGACCAGUUAGUUCUAUUUAAGGGCACCGCACCCAAACCUUGUUAUACAUACUUACAUCUCCUUAUUCACAAAAUUAAGCAUCCUCUCUUGCUCUGCUAACUUGUCUCCACCUGCGUUUCCUCCUCAAAUUUGGUAAUAGAAUCAAUGCGCUCUCUUUCUAAUACUUGAGACAUUACUGCUUUUAUUUUCUUCUAACUAAUCAUUCCUUUUUGUAGUUAAUUUUAAGCCAUGAAUGGUUACAUCCUACACCCCCCUGCACAAGACUUGGCCACAGCAGGCUACUCCUCAGCUGCUAAAGGAGGGCUUGCUGGUGUCCUCGUCAUGCUCCUUCUUGCUAUCGUAUUUUAUGUAUUCUUCAAGUUCCGAAACUGCUCCAUGAAAUUUGAGAUGGAUGUUGAAAUGCCAUAAAGGAGCGGCCAUGCUGCUGCUGGGACAUAAGACAAUGAGAUUCUUCUAAUUUUCCAAUAUUAAUGUUUUCGUAUUAAAUACUCGGGCGUCUCAACCCUUUGUUUUUGGUUUCAUCAUCUGUAUUGCCGCAGAUAAAUAUUUGGUCUCUUUUCUCAUAACAAAACAAUUCCAGAUAAUUUGUACCUUUUAUGGUGUGAAUUUUGUGCUGGAGUUGGACUGAUAUCUUCCAUUAAAAUCGUCAAAGCAGAUAAGGAAUUGUGGGCUUUUUCUUUAAUUUUUUUUUUGUGGGUUUUAACCACGUCUAAGUUUCUUAUUUGCUGGGGCUUAACUUUAGGAACUUUCUUUUUAUAGUCUCUUUUUAACAAAAAGAAGGUCGUCCUUCGACUGCAUUCGCUUCUUCUUCUUUUUUUCGCUCAACUUCCGCCGCUGGUGGGGUUACUAGCGGCGUGGUCCUGGACGGUUGCGUUGGCUGUCGUGAUAGCUUGAGUCUGUCGGAGUUCUCGCUUUUCGUGUUCUUCUUUUUUUUUUUUUUUGGCUCCAGGCAGCUGGAUCCUUUCGUUGUUGACGGCUAUGCCGUGGUUUGGUGGUUAUGUUGGUAACUGGUUCAAUGGCUAUGUUGGUAUUGGGCUUGCCAUGGCGGAAUAGCGCUGGGCAGUUGGGUGUUUUUUUUAGAAGUAGAUGAGAAUUGCCAGGGGAGAUGGGUUGCGGUGGCGGUCCGUGGGUUUUGGCUUUGUGGAGUACAGAGGCAUUAAUCUUCUACUACAAAGAAAAGAAAUAGCAACCGCGACCUGGAGGAAGGGAGAGACAGAAGGAGAUUAAAAUUAUCGACCUUGACUGGUAAUUUUCUUUGAUUUUCUUAAAUGGAUCUUUGAAUUAAUUGUUUAUUAUUACCUAUAUUGGUUGGUUGAUAGUUCCUCCCCGGUGGAGGAGUGUUGCAGUGAUGGGCAUGCUAAUAUUAUGUUUUAUCAACCGAUUGGUUGAAUGAAAUGAAUUGGCACUCUAUGGAAAGGAGCAGGACAUGGGAAUCGAAGCAUUGGAAGCCAUGCUUAUGGAUAUGAUGGUUUUAGAGGUGCUCCUUCCCUUCUUUCUUUUUUAUUUUUUCAAAGUAAACAAACCAAUGAUAUGCAAUUGCAGAAAUUCAUUCUAGCGAGAGUGGCCUUCAUACUUCUAACCAUCGCUUCAAGAUACUGCUGUGUUUUUUCUCUUCCCCGGAGUUUGGUCACGCUCUUAUGCUAUGCUCCUUUAGUCAUGCUGUUUUGGAUUCUUAGCUCGAUCAGUUUUUUAUGACCAUGAAUAACAUUACCUAUCUUUUGCAGGGAAACAGAAGCUGCUGGAGGACUGCACUGCCACCCCAAAUCCAAAUUGUGGAUGCAGCCACUGUUAUGGAAAUGGAUCAAGGAGGUUUACUUUUGGAUCCAGGCAACCUUUUAGUUUUUCUGUGUAUAAGACAUGUAAUGCUUUAAAGGAUUUGAAGCAACUCAUAAAACUGAUUUGUUGUUUCGCUUUUUGAUUUUGAUGCGAGGAGCUGUAUUUGGUAGUUUAAGACAUGAUUAAAAAUAUAGUUUUUUGAAUAAAAUUACUGAAGAUAGACUGUUGUCAAUUUUCCAUCUCAAGAAAUUAAGAAAUAUUAUUGUCCAAGUAAAAUGCAAGAAAACUCGAGUUCCUUCAAGUCAUCUCUAUGUUCUUUAACAAAUUAUGGUGACAGUUUCACUUCAAACCCUAAUUGCAAUUGAAUCGCCAAAUGAUGGAUCAGAAAUACUUUGUUCUAAAAAUGUUUCCUCCUCUCGAAGGCCCACAAUCGCAAGGGCUAAGAUAACAAAGAAACUUAGCGAGAAGUCAAGGCCCAAAACAAUGAGACCAGAUAGAGAUUUCAGACGAAGCAUGCAAAACAUAGUGUAUUAUACAGUUUAUACCUGACCUAACUCUUUUGAGUUUGAUUACGCGUCAAGCUCAAGUAAUUAUAAGCAAAUGAGAUCUAAAAAUAAUAAAAAAAUGGUAUAAGUUAUAAUUCUUAAAACAAUCUAAUAAUUAAAAAUAAAAUUAAAAAAGAAACUAAAUAAAAAAGGAUUGGGUUGUCAAAAGGUGAAUUAAAAAGAAAAAAUAAAUAAACAAAUGAAAGAAAGAAAACACAAGACACUAUUUCAACAAAUAAUUUUUUAUGAAUGUAACUGCAGCUGUGGUUCUUUCAAAAAUCCAAACUUUCCAAAUGAUUCGGCGCCAUGACAAAUGCAAUUCUUGAGAUCUUGUGCCAUCUUUCCAGCAUCUUUGGUGAAGAAAUUUACUAAUUAAUGCACAUAAAAUGACAAUAAAAACUCCAAUAUUAUUUUCAAAGCUCUUAAAAGAAAAGCAAAAUUGAAAUACUAGGGCAUAUAAGAGAGUUUUAUGUUAAGUCUGGUUUAAUUUCUCAAAGGUCAAAGGAAGCCUUACUGGGAUGAGGGAUGAGGGAUGAGGGAGGAAAAAAAGAGAGAGAAGGGAAGAGAGAGAGAGAGAGAGAGACAACCAAUUCAAACCGAUAAUCCCAUUGAUUCAUUUUGUGUGAGCAACACUAAGUUCUUAUCAAACGUGGCGUUGUCAAACGAGAUUGAAGGCACGUUUAGAACAACUGCAAGUUAUCUAAAUAAAAAAGUGUUUGAAAUGUAAUGCAAACUAUAUUUUUAAAAAUUUUAAUUUUUUUAUUUAAAAUAUUUUAUAUAUAUUUUUAGAUAUUUUAAUAUAUUAAUAUUAAAAAUAUUUUUUUUUUUAAUACAUUUUUAAAUAAAAAAAUAUUUUAAACCACCAUUAAUACUAUAAUUUCAAAUAAAUUGAAAUGCUUUGUUAAUUCUACGAGUAGGAUGCACAUUGUAUCCGUAACUCCAUAAUGCAAUUUGAUGUGAUUUCGUGGUAUAUAAAUAUUCAAGGAUGUAUAAGAAAAUUGAAUAAUCUAUUUACACUCAGAAUCAUUUAAAAUAAAACUCUCCUGUAUUUUGAUUCUUCUUCUUUUAUAUAUUAUUUUUCUGAAAUACUUUGUUAAUUUAGAUAUCAAAGAAUUACCUAUCCUGUAUAGUUUUUAAGGAACAAGAACUUAUAACAUGAUUUUUCUAGUGGACUAGGCCAGCGUGCCUCCUCUCAAUCAUGGAAUUGUUUAGUUUAAUAGAGUUUUUAAUAGUAUUAAUUUGUUUUUUUAAUAAUAUUUAUCAGAUAACUCUAAAUCAAUUACAGAAAAUAGACCAUAUUUAUAUAAUUUAAUAAUGUAUAUUAAUUUUCUUAGGCGAUCUGUGUUGCAUAAGAAGUUUAUAUUAAGCUAAGAAGCUUGUUUUAAUUUUUAAUUUUAAUUUUAAGAUUGCCUGAAGGGGGAAUCUGUGCGGGUGGGUCCAAACCCGACAGUGGAUGGAUACCAAUUGGAUGUGUCGUAGAUGUAGCUAUUUUUUUGCCCGGAGCGCUGCAGCGCGGCCAUAAUUUAGUUAAACGAUAAUUUAGAAAUUAACCAAAGAGGAAAAUAAAUAUAGGGGGAAAAUAAAAUUAUGCUUUAAGAUGUGGAUUUAUUUUAUUUUAUUUUGGGAUGAUCAGGUGGAAGAUUAUUUAGGAGAGGGAGGAAAUUAUGUUUUAAGAUUAAUAUUAGUGAAAAGAAAUCUUGGAUUAAUUUUUAAAUAAAAUUACUGCUGUUAAACUAUAUUCAAUUUUUCAUCUCGGUAAAUUAAGAAAUAUUAUUGUCCAAGUAGAAUGCAAGUAGUUAUAUAUAUAUAUAUUAAAUUAUUAUAUUAAUCUCAAAAUGUAUCUAUGUUUUCUUGGGGCAUUUUCAUAUUUUCCUUUGGGUUUUUUUGCUGCUUAUUUUAUUUAAUACCCACUAAAAAAAUGCUUGGUCAUUCAUUCUAGUCCCUUCGAAAGUUAUUUGGACCUUUAUAUUUACUUGAUAUUUUUUAUAAAAAUAAGUUCUUAAUUAAAGAAAAUUUAUCCUCAUAUUUUUUCAUAACAACACUUUAAUCCCUAUAUUAAUUUUAUUUUAAUUGAGUCUAGGUGCCCACAUCAAAUGCUCCGUUCAUUAACAUUCUAGUAAUGGAUCAUAGGUUGAAAUAAAUCCAUGUGAGCGUAUGCAUCAAUUCUUAGUGCCUGUUUGGCAUUGCGGUCAAACCGGUUUUUUGAAAAAAUUCAAAUUUUUUUUUUUUUACUAAAAUUGAGUGCGGUUUGUACUUUUUGGAUCGUUUUGAUGUGCUGAUGUCAAAAAUGAUUUUUAAAAAAUGAAAAAACAUUAUUGACAUGCUUUUCGACACGAAAAGCUAUUUGAAAAGCAACCGCUACCACACUCCCAAACACCCUCUUAAUCCUAAGCCUCCGUGGACUAAAAUUAGUAGACAUGCACAUACUGCUCUUUGAAUAAAGAGCAAACCUCAAAAAUACUAAAUUAUUUAUAUUAAUUUUACCCUCAUGAUCUUAAGAAAAAUUAAUCAAAUACUUCUAUAUAUUUUAAAGCUUUCUGACGAUGUUUUUAUUUAAAUUAUACUGUUUUUAAAAUGGUUUUUUUUUUUGUAGAGGAAUUAGUGUUUUAUAUUAAAUAUCUCAAUAUAAAAUCUUAAUUGAGAAGUCAAUAUAAUGUAAUGGUAAGAUUGAUUAAGAAAAUAGUUUGGAUAUAAAAUUGAUAAUAAUUCAAUAAUUUGAUGAGAUAUUUGAUAUUUAGCUUCGAAUAAAUCUGUCUUUUUGUGUACUGUGUUUACAGGGAUCGGGAAGAAUAAGGAAGCAGGUUGGAAAUUUACAAUCGAUGCAACAGUAUACUUCAGUUGACUGGAUGUACAGGCUUGCAAAAGUCAAUAGUCUAAUCAAUUGAUUUAAACCUAUAGCCAUAUCUGACGCCAUAUUUCUUUUAAAAAAUAAUCACUUUUCUCUCUCUGAGCCCCAAGUUCUGGUUUUUCUUGUGUCUUAAUCAUUAUUUUUCUCUAAUUUAUAAGAUAAUUUUAGAUUCAAAGAAUAUGGAUAAAAAAAUAAUAAAUAUUUAGAUGUUGUUUAUUUUUUUAUUUUAAAAGUAUUUUUAAAAAAAUUAUUUAUUUAUUUAUUUUAAAAUAUUUUUAUAUAUUUUAAAAUUAUUUUAAUAUCUAACAUUAAAAAUAAUUUUUUAAAAUAAAAAAAUAUUUAAAAAAAACAAUUAUUACUAUAUUCACGCACCUCUGAAACCACUUACUAAUGUGUUUUGAACUUUUCCACCACCUAGAGGCUGCCUUUGCCAUCAUCUGCCUGCAUUUUACAAUUUACAUCCCAUUGAUAUUUAUCUUAUUGAUGAAAUACGGAGUUUCAUCAAGCAUUCGAAAUGGAAAUUUUAGUUUUUCUUAGUUUUUUUUAAAAAACAAUUUCUGACGGUGCAUUUUAUAUAUAUUUUUUAAAUUAUUUUUUAUUUAAAAAAAUGACACUGAAAUUUUUAAUAAUCUUAAUGUAUUGAUGAUAAAAAUAAAAAAUGUAUGAAAAUCAUCAUUUUAAUUAAAAAAUAUUUUAUAAAAACACAUUGCAUAAUUACCAAAAACAAAGCAUUUUGAACAAUGCGAAGGACAUGCGUUUUUGCUCCCGUGUGAUUUACUUUCAAAAGAGGAUGCAAAGAGCUAUUUUUAUAAAAAAAUAAAUAAAGUAAAGAAUUAAUUAAUUAAUUAAUAAAAAAAAUCUAAUAAAUAUCGCACUCAACAUCGCGAUGAAUUUAAAAAAUAUAAGUAAAUUUUUUUUUUAUAUGUGAAAUGACCUCCUUGGCUUAAAUAUCAAAAUAAAAAAGGAUAAAAAAUACAGGGUAAUCCUAUAAAAAAAAUCUUAGCUUAGCUUCAUACAAAUUGUUGGCCAGUGAAUCUUAACUUAGCUUCAUAUGAUGAGUUAAGUUUUUAAAAAAUUUAACAUUUCAAUAAAAAAAUUAUUCCUUUUUUUUAAUUUUAGUUUUAUCAUUGACUCUUUUAUAAAAAAUUUAUUUUUUUAAAUUUAGUCCUUCAAUUAAUUACAAUUUGAUUUUUAUUUUUUUUAUUUUUUAAUUUGUUUUUUUAAAUUUUUUAUAAAAAUUCUAUUAAUUUUUAAUUUUAUCACUCAAUUCAAGUUUAUCGUAUAUUAAAAAAAUAAUUUUACCAGUAAAUAACUAGUAGCAUUAAUAAUAAUAAUAAAAAAACCGUUUGAGCAUUCAAGCUCGCCUAAGAUUCAGUCCAGGUUUCCCAAUAAGAUUAUUUAUAAUACGGCCCGUGAGAUAGUUGUUCUGUAAAUACCUGAAAAAUAAAGGACUGUAAACCAGAUAGAGAUUAGGCCAAGAAAGCCCCAGGGGAGAUGGAAAGCAAGGGAGAUCACCAAAACCAAAAGUAGCACAAGCCCGACCCGACAGAACUGGGAGAGCAGACGUGGCAAAAGUAGGGAGAGCAGAACUGGAAGAGUCUUUUAGACACCGUUUGACAUUGCGUUUCAAAUAAUAUUUUAUUAAAUUUUAAUUUUUUUUUAUUUAAAAUUAAGUAUGGUUUGUAUUUUUUAGAUCGUUUUAAUUUGCUAAUGUCAAAAAUAAUUUUUAAAAAAUGAAAAAAAAUUAUUGACAUGUAUUUCGGUACAAAAAGCUAUUUGAAAAGCAACCGCUACCACACUGCCAAACACACUUUUAAACGUAGCAAAAGGCAUUCUCCAUUUAUACAUACUUACAUCAUUAAGCAUCCAUUCUUGCUCAUCUAACUCGUCUCCUCAAAUUUGGUAAUAUUAUCAAUGCGAUCUCUUUCCAAUCUCACUUGAGAAAUUACUGCUUUUAUUUUCUUCUAAUUAACCAUUCCUUUUUGUAGUUAAUUUUAAGCCAUGGAUGGUUACAUCCCACACCCCCCUGCACAAGACUUGAGUGAGGAGAGGCAUAAUCCAUAUAAAAUAAAAUAUUCAAUGAAAGGGACAAAACGGUGUGAAUUGUUAUUUAUCUUAUUGAUGAAAUACGGAGUUUCAUCAAACAUUCGAAAUGGAAAUUUUAGUUUUUCUUAGUUUUUUUUAAAAAACAUUUUUUUCGGUGCAUUUUAUAUAUAUAUAUAUAUAAUUUAAAUUAUUUUUUAUUUAAAAAAAUGACACUGAAAUUUUUAAUAAUCUUAAUGUAUUGAUGAUAAAAAUAAAAUAUAUAUAAAAAUCUUCAUUUUAAUUAAAAAAAUAUUUUAGAAAAACACAUUGCAUAAUUACCAAAUACAAAGCAUUUUGAACAAUGCGAAGGACAUGCGUUUUUGCUCCCAUUGUUAUUUGGGUGUGAUUUACUUUCAAAAGAGGAUGCAAAGAGCUAUUUUUAUAAAAAAUUAAAUAAAGUAAAGAAUUAAUUAAUUAAUUAAUAAAAAAAAAUCCAAUAAAUAUCGCACUCGACUUCGCGAUGAAUUUAAAAAAUAUAAGUAAAUUUUUUUUUAUAUGUGAAAAGACCUCUUUGGCUUAAAUAUAAAAAUAAAAAAGGAUAAAAAAUACAGGGUAAUCCUAUAAAAAAAAUCUUAGCUUAGCUUCAUACAAAUUGUUGGCCAGUGAAUCUUAACUUAGCUUCAUAUGAUGAGUUAAGUUUUUAAAAAAUUUAACAUUUCAAUAAAAAAAUUAUUCCUUUUUUUUUAAAAAUUUUAGUUUUGUCAUUGACUCUUUUAUAAAAAAAAUCAUUUUUUUAUUUAGUCCUUUAAUUAAUUACAAUUUGAUUUUUAUUUUUUUUAAUUUUUAAUUUGUUUUUUUGGAUCUUUUAUAAAAGUUCUAUUAAUUUUUAAUUUUAUCACUCAAUUCAAGUUUAUUAUAUAUUAAAAAAAUAAUUUUACCAGUAAAUAACUAGUAGCAUUAAUAAUAAUAAUAAUAAAAAAACCGUUUGAGCAUUCAAGCUCGCCUAAGAUUCAGUCCAGGUUUCCCAAUAAGAUUAUUUAUAAUACGGCCGGUGAGAUAAUUGUUCUGUAAAAACCUGAAAAAUAAAGGACUGUAAAGCAAAUAGAUGGUGGGGCAGGGGUUCAAAAGCCCUAGGGCAGAUGGGAGAAAAGGGCGAAAAGGGGAGGGCGAAAUCGACGAAAAGGGGGAGGGGCGAAAUCGACCAAAAGGGACACAAAGACAAUAAGGGGCAAACAGUGACAAAACCGUAUCUCCUCUAUUUAAGAGCUCAAAUUCCAUUUUAUACAUACUUACAUCUCCUUGUUACUCACAACAUUAAGCAUCCAUUCUUGCUCUGCUAACUCGUCUCCUCAAAUUUGGUAAUAUUAUCAAUGCGAUCUCUUUCUAAUCUCACUUGAGAAAUUACUGCUUUUAUUUUCUUCUAAUUAACCAUUCCUUUUUGUAGUUAAUUUUAAGCCAUGGAUGGUUACCCCCCUGCACAAGACUCGGCCACAUCAGGCUACUCCUCAGCUGCUAAGGGAGGGCUUGCUGGUGUCCUCGUCAUGCUCCUUGCUAUCGUAGUUUAUGUAUUCUUCAAGCGCCAAAACUGCCUCGAGGAGGGCGACCCCGUGAAGGUUCAGGUGAUCAAUAUUGUUGAAAUGGGAGAGAAGCGUGGGAAAUAAGGAGGUACCAUACCAUGUAAUAAGAAGUUGAAGCUAAUUAAGAUUCAUACAAAUGAGAUUUUCCUAAUCUUCCCAUAUUGUUUUUGUAUUAAUUGCAGGAAUCCAUGAAGCACACGGAUGCCUCGACUGCUCCUUAUUAGUUAUAUCUAUUGUAUUGUUGCAGAAUCGAACCGUUUUAAUUUGUACUUUAUAUUUAAAUAAAUGAUUGUGUGAAUUUCGUGUUGGACUUAAACUUAAUAUUGAAUUGUGUUGCUGCCACUUUAUUUUAAAAUCGUCAUAGCAGAUAAUGAAUUGUGGGCUUUUUCUUUAUUUUUUAUAUUAUUAUUUUUUUGAUUAACGUUGGUGUCCGGGCCAGCUUGCGCGUACCACGAUUAAUCUCACGGUUCACUGAACAUCCUGCAAGCCCAGUGAACAGGUAAGACACCGCGGAGGUGACAGGGCAUACCGCACAGGGAGAACCCAAUAAAAAUAAGAGGAGAAUAAACUCUCCAACCCCACCCCUACUGGAACUCGAACCGGAAUUUGAAGAAAGGAAAGCUGCCUCAUGUAACCACUGAGCCACACACCUGUUGUUAUUUUUUUAAUAUUACUUGGAGUGGGGUUUUACUAUUACCAAUUUACUGUGUUGCUGCGACUCUUUUUUUUUUUGACCACGUGUAAUUUCUUAUUUGCUGGGGCUUGCUUUAGGAGCUUACUUUUUAUAGUCUCUUGGUCGUCCAUAAAACAAACACUCACCGCAACAGUCACAGGCCAAACUCUUUGUUAAAUUGAUCGCAGAUCACACUCCAUGUCAAACCGAUGGUGUUUAGGUGCGUUGAGCGCCGGAUCGGUGCCAACUCCAUCUCCUCUUGAUGAGGGCGGUUUUUCUCGUCGCCAUCCAACGAGGGAUGUCCAGUCUUUUUGCCUUCCGUUGCUUUCCCUUUUGUCUUUGCGCGACUUUCGCCGUUGGUGGAGUUACUAGUGGCGUGGACCUGGACGGUUGCGUUGGCUUCUGUGAUCGCUUGAGUCUGUCGGAGUUGUCGCUUUUCGUGUUCUUUUAUUUUUUCCCGAUCCUGGCAGCUGGAUCGUUUCAUUGUUAACGGCUAUGCCGUGGUUUGGUGGUUAUGUUGGUAACUGGUUCAAUGGCUAUGUUGGUGUUGGGCGUGCCAUGGCAGAAUUGCGCUGGGCAGUUGGGUUUUUUUUUUUAGAGGGAGAUGAGAAUUGCCAGGGGAGAUGGGUUGCGGUGGUGGUCCGUGGGUUUUGGCUUUGUUGAGUACAGACUACAGAGGCAUUAUUCUUCUAUUACAAAGAAAAAAUAGCAACCUCGACCUGGAGGAAGGGAGAGACAGAAGGAGAUUAAAAUUAUCGACCUUGACUGGUAAUUUUCUUUGAUUUUCUUGAAUGGAUCUUUAAAUUAAUUGUUUAUUAUUACCUAUAUUGGUUGGUUGGGAGCUCCUCCCCAGUGGAGGAGUGUUGCAGUGACGGGGCAUGCUAAUAUCUAUAUUUUAAUAACUGAUUGGUUGAAUGAAAUGAAUUGGCAGGCUAUGGAAGCAUUGGAAGCCAUGCUUAUGGAUGAUGGUUUUAGAGGUGCUCCUCCCCUUCUUUCUUUUUGAUUUUUUCAAAGUAAACAAACCAAUGACAUGCAAUGGCAGAAAUUCAUUCUAGCGAGAAUGGCCUUGAUACUUCUUUCAAGAUAUCAAUAUCUCCACAGGUUAGGCUGUUCAUCAUGGUGUCGUGUUUUUUUCUCUUCCCCGGGGUUUGGUAAUGCUUUUAUGCCAUGCUGUGCUGUUUUGGAUUCUUAGCUCGAUCAGUUUUAUUUCCAGUGGGAAAAGGAGGUGAACAUGGAGCUGUGAGUUCUAUGUUAUAAAAAAAUAAUUUAAUUAAAAAUACUUAGUAUGAAUCCUUCUUAUCAAAUUUAAUAAUAUAACACAAUUUUUUUUUAUUUUGAUGGUUUAAAUUAAUAUCAAUAACAAGUUUAUUUUUACUGUCGAAAUCCAACGAUUUUUUUCUCUUAAUCAGGAAUAAAAAAAUAAUAAAAAUGAACACCUAUAUCAAAAUAAAAUUUCUCAAAACUUAUGAUAUGCUAUUAUAUAUCCUUGUUUUUCAUUUUGAUCUCUUUUUUAAUCCUAAUUUUUCCAUAAAAGGUUAAAAUUAAUUGCUUCUUAAAUAGUAAGAGAAUAAUAAAUAAAUAAAUAAAUGAAUAACAGUAGUAAAUGUACAGUGAAGUAUUUUUUUUUUUGGAUACUCCGGAUUAUCAAAAAAAAAAAAAACCCGUAUCUUUUACUAUAUGUCUUUUUGGCUACGGGAUCACGACGUCUGUGGUACCAGUUGUGAUCCGAGAUGGCCACACCAAACUUGGUCACAACCCCGCUCAUGUCCUAUGAAAGAAUAAAAAAAAAAGCAUAUAAGAGAGUUUUAUGUUAGCUACAGUUUAAUUUCUCAAAAGCCAAAACAAUUUCAUCGAGGAUAUCAUCUCACGGUCUGGAGAAAUAAAUAACAGAAAAAUAUCAUCUAAAAAUGUUUCCAUGAGAGCCAAAAUAUCUCAUUUUUUAUAAAAAGAAUAGAGAUAGAAGAUCAAAUAUUUUUUUUUUAUUUUUAUAUGUUUUUUGAAAUUAUUUUUAGAUUAAUACCCCUUAUCUUUUUUAUUUUAUUUAAAAUCUUAUUUAAAUGAUAAUUAUUUUUAUAUAAAUUUAUUUUUUAAAAUCAAUUAUUUUUAAAUUUUUUUCUUUUAUUAAUGUGAAUAUUCAGAGUGAGGCAUAUUUUCUCCAAUGUGAUUUCUAUUUCUACCUCUUUUACUAAUAUGUCCAUAAAAAAGUGCACCAACAUUGAGGCAUCACCAGUUCAAUCACAAAAACACCAAGGAAUCAAACGCGCACUAAAACACCAAGACAUGCCGAGACAUGCCACAAAAACACCAAGGUGACCAGUUAGUUCUAUUUAAGAGCACGCAAACUUUCCCCAAAAGAGGCCUUGCUUAAGGAGUUCAUUUUUCCAUUUUCCAUUUUCCAUUUUCCUUUAAAACCCUCCUAUUUGUUUCCUUAUAUUUAAGGACACCGCACCCAAACCUUGUUAUACAUUCUUACAUCUCCUUAUUUAAGCAUCCACUCUUGCUCUGCUAACUUGUCUCCUCCUGUGUUUCCUCCUCAAAUUUAGUAAUAUUAUCAAUGCAUGCGAUAUCUUUCUAAUCUCACUUGAGACAUUACUGUUUUUAUUUUCUUCUAAUUAAUCAUUUCUUUUUGAUGUAAGCCAUUGAUGAUAUCUAAUUUGUACCUUUUAUGGUGUGACUUUUGUGCUGGAGUUGGACUGAUAUCUUCAAUUAAAAUCGUCAAAGCAGAUAAGGAAUUGUGGGCUUUUUCUUUAAUUUUUUUUUUUUUUUUUGUAAUUUUCUUAUUUGCUGGGGCUUGCUUUGGGAGCUUUAUUUUUAUAGUCACUUUUUAACGAAAAGAAGGUCGUCCAUAAAACAAACACUCACCACAGCAGUCCCAGCCGAAGUCUUUGUUAAAUCGAUCGCAGAUCCCACUCCAUGUCAAACCGAUGGUGUUUCGGUGCGUUGAGUGUCUGAUCGGUGCCAACUCCAUCUCCUCUGCACGUUGACGAGGGCGGUUUUUCUCGCCGCCAUCCAACGAGGGAGCCUUCGGUUGCUUUCGCUUCUUCUUCUUUUUUUAGCUCAACUUCCGCCGCCGGUGGAGUUACUAGCGGCGUGGUCCUGGAAGGUUGCGUUGGCUGUCGUGAUAGCUUGAGUCUGUCGGAGUUUUCGCUUUUCGUGUUCUUUUUUUUUUGGCUCCUGGCAGCUGGAUCGUUUCGUUGUUGACGUCUAUGCGUGGUUUGGUGGUUUUAUUGGUAACUGGAUCAUGGGUUGUGUUUUUUUUUUUUUUUUCAAGAGAGAGAGAGGUGAGAAUUGCAAGGGGAUAUGGGUUGCGGUGGUGGUCCGUGGGUUUCAGUGCGUAAAGUGUGGGAUCGGUGCCAGCUCCAUCCCCUCUGCGUGUUUAUGAGGGCAGUUUUUCUCGUCGCCAUCCAACGAGGGAUGUCCAGGCUUUUUGCCUUCCGUUGCUUUCCCUUUUGUUUUCGCGCGACUUUCGCCGUUGGUGGAGUUACUGGCGGCGUGGAACUGGACUGUUGCGUUGGCUUCCGUGAUCGCUUGAGUCUGUCGGAGUUGUCGCUUUUCGUGUUCUUUUUUCCCCGCUCCUGGCAGCUGGAUCGUUUCGUUGUUAUCGGCUAUGCCGUGAUUUGGUGGUUAUGUUGGUAACCGGCUCAAUGGCUAUGUUGGUGUUGGGCGUGCCAUGGCGGAUUUGCGCUGGGCAGUUGGGUUUUUUUUUAAGAGGGAGAUGAGAAUUGCCAGGGGAGAUGGGUUGCGGUGGCGGUCCGUGGGUUUUGGCUUUGUUGAGUACAGAGGCAUUAAUCUUCUAGUACAAAGAAAAAAAAUAGCAUCCGCGACCUGGAGGAAGGGAGAGACAGAAGGAGAUUAAAAUUAUCGACCUUGACUGGUAAUUUUCUUAAAUGGAUCUUUGAAUUAAUUGUUUAUUAUUACCUAUAUUGGUUGGUUGAUAGUUCCUCCCCGGUGGAGGAGCGUUGCAGUGAUGGGGCAUGCUAAUAUUAUGUUUUAUUAACCGAUUGGUUUGAAUGAAAUGAAUUGGCAGUCUAUGGAAAGGAGCAGGACAUGGGAAUCGAAGCAUUGGAAGCCAUGCUUAUGGAUAUGAUGGAUUUAGAGGUGCUCCUUCCCUUCUUUCUUUUUGAUUUUUUCAAAGUAAACAAACCAAUGAUAUGCAAUUGCAGAUAUUCAUUCUAGCGAGAGUGGCCUUCAUACUUCUAACCAUCGCUUCAAAAUAUCAGUAUCUCCACAGGUUAGGAUGGCUGGCUGUUCUAUCAUCAUGGUGCUGUGUUUUUUUUCUCUUCCCCGGAGUUUGGUCAUGCUCUUAUGCCAUGCUCCUUUAGCCGUGCUGUUUUGGAUUCUUAGCUCGAUCAGUUUUAUUUCCAGUGGGAAAAGGAGGUGACCAGGGAGCUGUGAGUUCUAUCAAGAUCUAUAUAUGGUUUAAAACCAAAGUCGAUAAUUUUAAUCUCCUCCUGUCUCUCCCUUCCUCCAGGUCGCGGUUGCUAUUUUUUUCCUUUGUACUAGAAGAUUAAUGCCUCUGUACUCAACAAAGCCAAAACCAAGGACCGCCACCGCAACCCAUCUCCCCUGGCAAAUCUCAUCUCCCUCUAAAAAAAAAUAAAACCAACAGCCCAGCGCAAUUCCGCCAUGGCACGCCCAGCACCAACAUAGCCAUUGAACCAGUUACUAACAUAACCACCAAACAAUGAAACGAUCCAGCUGCCAGGAGCGGGGAAAAAAAAGAACACGAAAAGCGACAACUCCGACAGACUCGAGCGAUCACGAAUGCCAACGCAACAGUCCAGGUCCAUGCCACGCCGCUAGUAACUCCACCAGCGGCGGAAGUCGGGCGAGAACAAAAGGGAAAGCAACGGAAGGCAAAAAGACUAGACAUCCCUCGUUGGAUGGCGACGACAAAAACCGCCCUCAUCAACACGCAGAGGAGAUGGAGGUGGCACCGAUCCCACACUUAACGCACUGAAACCCACGGACCACCACCUCAACCCAUCUCCCCUUGCAAUACUCACCUCUCUCUCGAGAAAAAUAAAACACACAGCCAUGGAACCAGUUACUAAUAAAACCACCAAACCACGGCAUAGCCGUCAACAAGGAAACGAUCCAGCUGCCAGAAGCCAAAAAAAACAGAAAAGCGAAAAAUCCUACAGACUCAAGUGAUCACGACAAUCAACGCAACCGUCCAGGACCACGCCACUAGUAACUCCACCAGCGAAGGAAGGCGCGCGAAAACAAAAGCGAAAGCAACAGAAGGCAGAAAGACUGGAUAGCGGGGAGAAAAACCGCCCUCAUCAACGCGCAGAGGAGGUGGAGUUGGCACCGGUCCGACACUCAACGCACCGAAACGCCCUGGGUUUGACAUAUCUGUGAUCGAUUUAACAAAGAGUUUGGCUGUGACUGCUGUGGCGAGUGAUUGUUUUAUGGACGGCUUUCUUCUCGUUAAAAAGAGACGGUAUUAAAAGGGUAGAUCCAAAAGCGGGCCCCAGUGGAUCAGAAAAUUACCAGGAAGUCCACACUGAUUUAUUACAGUGGCAGCGCAGUAAAUUGAUGAUAAUUAAAAAAAAAAACCCACUCCAAGUAAAGAAAAAAAAAUUGAGGGAAAAAACUCAAAACUCAUUACGUGCUAUGACGAUUUUAAUUGAAGAUAUUAAGUUUAACUCCAACAGAAAAUUCACACCAUCAUUUACAUAUAUAUAAAGUAAAAAUUAAAAUGGUCUGAUCUCAAAUAAUGAGAGAACAUACCAAUAUUUAUCUGCAACAAUACAGUAGAUAUAACUAUAAAAACCAACUGUCCAUGUUCCGAGUACUUCAUGGAUUGCUACCUUAAACAAAGAAGAAGUUACGAAAACAGUAUUGGAAUAUUAGAAGAAUCUCACUUUAUGAAUCUUAAUAGCUUCAACUUCUUAUUGCAUGCUACCUCCUUGCAUGCUCUUUCAGCAUUUCAACUAAGUAUCUCCAGGACGGACACCAGUCCUUCCUGGCAUUUCAACAUCCACCUCCAAUUUUACGGAGCAGUUUCGGCACUUGAAGAAUACAUAAACUACGACAGCAAGAAGAAGCAUGAUGAGGACACCAGCAACUCCUCCUUUAGCUGCCGAGGAGUACCCUCCGGUGACCGAGUCUUGUGCAGGGGGGUGUAGGGUGUAACCAUCCAUGUCUCAAAACUACAAAAAGGAAUGAUUAAUUAGAAGAAAAUAAAAGCAUUAAUGUCUCAAGUGAGAUCAGAAAGAGAGAUCGCAUUGAUAACAAUACCAAAUUUGAGGAAGUAACACAGGAGGAGAUACGCUAGAAGACCAAGGACCAGAUGCUUAAAUUUUGUGAACAAGGAGAUGGAUGAAUUGCAAGGAGGAAGCCCGUUUCCUCUUAUAGGAAGGGCUUUGAUGAUGCAGAUCUCUAUUUUCUAUUUUCUACAUUCCUUCGGUGGGGGCCACACCACUAUUGUUUGUUUGUUACUUUCACAAAAGCGCUAUUUGUUCGAGAAUCUAAUCUCACGAUUCGAGAAAAUAAAUAAUAAAAUGCGUAAUUACAACACUCCUCCACUGGGGAGGAACUACUAUCAACCAACCAAUAUAGGUAAUGAUAAACAAUUUAUUCAGAGAUCCAUUUAAGAAAAUAAAAGAAAAUUACCAGUCAAGGUCGAUAGUUUUAAUCUCCUUCUGUUUCUCCCUUCCUCCAUUGCUAUUUUUUCUAAUCUAAUUAAAUCAUUCCUCUUUUUUUUUUUAUUAUUCUAAUAUCAUGUCUCGAGUUAUUGAUUUAACAGGUUUAUUAAAUUUAAUUCAACUAUUUUUUUUUAUUAUUUUUUAAUAGUUUUUGAUCUUGAAUCGAUGAUCAUAAUCUUGGAUUUUGUAUUUCUUUUUAAAUAUAAAUCAUUUCGAUAUUUUCUUUAUAAUAAAAAAGGUUUUGACAACCCUACUUGGUUUUGCUAAUACUUUAUUUUUUAAUUUUUUUAUUAAUUUUUUUAUUUCAUUCUUCUAUAUUUUUGUUGUAGAAGAUGAUAAUUAUUAUUAUUUUUAUUUUUUUUCUAUGGUGUUGAAUCAUGAUUUUUUUUUUAUUAUUAUUCUUUAAAAUCCAAUAAUUAAUAGCCCCUGGGUAUUCUUUUUUUACACUGCAGAAAAAGAUCAGCUUGGCCUACAGUGAAACUCGGGCUAUCUAUAUUUAGCAUGCAAAUAUAAACAUACACUUUAUCUAGCAAUCAAUCCAAAAGCAAAAAAAAAGAAUAAAAUAAAGGGUUUCGUGGUAGUUUUAUGGAGGGGCGAAACUUGGAAACCUUUUCAGAGGCGCCACGAUUAGAAAUAUUUUGGAGGAAUUAUUAUAAAGGAUGGAUCUAGCCAUUUGGGUGCGGUAACUGAGAUUGGAGGAGUUGGUUAGGGUGAUCUUUGCCUCCAUCCCAAACUUUUCCCAGUGGAAACAGCCUUUUCUACCUCAUCAAAUAAAGGAAGAGUGCAAGGAAGGGAGCGGAGGAUCACUUACGAUUUUUUUAGCCUGUUUAGAAGAAUAAAAAAACGCAAAACCAAAGCCCUUCCUAGUUAAAGACUAAAAGUCAAGGUAGGUAGCAUGUGAUUAACAAAAAGUUGAAGCUGAUUAAGAUUCCUACAAAUGAGAUUCUUGGGAAUCGAAGCAUUGGAAGCCAAUUUGAUUCUUGCAAUAAGAUUCCUACAUUUUCCUGCAAUUUGAUUCUUCUUCUUUCAUAUAUUAUUUUUUUCUUCUAUAACUUACUAAUUUAGCUAUAUAAAGGUCUUGUUUUGCAAGGAAAAUGUGAACUGCCAGCCAAGCCUAACUUAAGAAAAAAAAUAUAUAAUCAAAGUACGUUAACAGUCUGUUUUUUUUUUUUUGCAAAGAAAAUAAAACACUCACUCAUGAAGGUUUCAACGAAUUGGUGGCCUUGUUUCAUCGUCUCAUCACCCACUCUAGUUAGUGUGAAGCAUAACAUAUUAUUGAAUUUUUUUACUUUUUAAUCUUUGUUAACUUAAAAGGUGUUUGAAAGUGUUGUACUAGUUACUUUUUAAAAUGUUUUUUUACUUGAAAAUAUAUUUAAAUAAUUUUUUUAUUUUUUAAAAAAUUAUUUUUGACAACAAAAUAUCAAAAUAUCUAAAAAGAAUAAAAAUUAUUAAUUUAAAAUAAAAAAUUAAAUUAAAUUAAUUUUUUUUAAAACUAUUUUUAAAACACAAAAAAUAAACAAUAUCAAAUACAGCUUCCAUAAAACUGCAAAGUUGAUGUUGGUUCGAUUACAAAAUUAAUAACAGUUGUAGAUAAAUCUUUAAAAAUACACACUUGAAUAGAGAGAAAAAAAAAUACAUCCAUUCAAUUAGAAACUAAGUGAUUUAGAGCUUAUCUCAGGCAGCUAGCAACCUUCCCAACACCCCCCCCCCUCAUAAUACCCCCCCCCCCUCAUAAUACACAUUUAAGUUCCUGUAAUUUAUAAGGUAUUCAAUUCUAUAUAUCCCUAAAAUUCCAAAAUUUAUUUGGAAUUGGAUCCUUAAUUUAUAUUUUUCUCUCCUUUUCUAAGCUAAAAACCCCUCCUUUAUGCAUGUCUUGAUAACAUACAAAUCUUACUAUUUGAAUUUUAAUUGCAAUUGAAAUUUGCAAUGUUUUUUACGGGCCAAUUAUUACUGGUGCACAAAUAAAUGUGUCUUUUUUUAUUUGAAUUUUUUUUAUUUAAUCCAUUUCUAUUUGAUUUUGUUUUGUUUUUAUUUAAAUAUAGUAAUCAUUCUCUUGAUUGUUACUUUUUUUUGUAUUAUUGUUUUCUUGAUUUUUUUUAUUUCAAUUUUGUCUCUCAAUAUUUUAUUUCAUUUUUUUUUCUAGAUAUUGUUCUUAUUUUUUUUAAUAACUUUUUUUAAUUCUUUUCUUAAUUUGUUUUAUCUUUCAAUAUUGUCCCUUAGCAUUUUAUUUCACUUAUUUUUUAUUUAAUUUUGAUUCUUAUUACUCUAAUUAUUUUUGUAAUCUUUUUUUUUAUUCUAUUUUUUCUCUACCACUAAUCUUAUUACUCGUGAAUAGUGUAGUGAAUUGCACUGUUUGUUAUUUUUUAUAGUCUACAGUGCAUGAAAAGCAGGUUUUCAUAGCUUUUCAUUUACAGCAUUUUAAACGCAAAAAUUCUUGUGACCCUCAUGCACAGUAAAUCAAUUUUUUUUAUUAUCAAAAGGCUGCUGACUGCGUUUUAAAUAAAACACAACCGCGGCCGCGUAGACAAACGAAGUCUAAAUGUUGGGUUUAGGGUGGUCCAGACACAGGCUGUUUUGUUGGGUUCAGUUCUAAGUUUAAGAUUGUAAUAAUUGUUAUUUUUUAAAAUGAUUUUUUUUUAUUAAUUUAUUUUUAAUAUAACACGUAGAAUGAUUGAAUAUUAUAUAAAAAAAAUUAAUUUAAAAUAAAAAAUAUUUUAAAAAGUUUCAAAAAUUCUUUUUAAUUAAAAACAAAGAAAUGUUUUGUUUUGUUUUUUUCCCCUUCCUUCCUUAUUCCUCUUUGUUUCUACAAAUUAUGCUUAUCAACCCCGUAUUUUUUAAGAUAUAAUUUUUUUAUUUGAAUAUUAGGGAGUUAUUCACGUACCGCCUAAACACCAUAAGUGUCUCCCAUUCAUUUUUUUUCAAUCCCUAAAUUAUUUUGUUUGACAAAUAUGAUCCCUCAAGCAAUAUAAUUGUGUUUUAAUUUUCAAAAUUAGGCAUCAACCAAACACGUGUCAGAAUUUUUUCUCAAUAAAAUUGGAUUCUCAUAUUUAAGAAAAAAAAACUAUCAAGUUUAAUUUUUUUUUAAAAGACUUAAUAUAAAAAGAUAAAAUUAAAAAAGAAGAAUAAGAAGAAGAAAAAGUUGAAUCUCUCCCCUAUACCAUGUAAUUCAGUCACUGAUGUUUCCAUGAAAACAGGGCUCAAUACGUGUAAUUCCAGUACUGUUUUGACGACAAAGGAAUAUCAUUGGUGGGUUGUGGGGCAGUCAUUUGUUUGUCUCUGUAAAAGUGCAAAACAGGCAUAAAACAAUUAACGAUACUUCUUUUAAAUGGGAGUAAAUGCUCAUGAAGAUAUGAUUGAGCUUUGUUAAGAUAUAUAGAUGUUAUUUUGUGUUGUGGUACAUAGCUUUUUUUUUUUUUUUUUUUUUAUCUUAGAGAAAUAAUUGUUUGAUUAUAAAAAUAAAUUAUACCUUUUACACUAAGUUUCGUUUUAAAUCUUAAUUUUGUAUUGCUAAAAUACUAUACUUUUCAUCAUUUAUUUUACUUAGGUCAAUUCUUACCAGAGAAAUUGAAAUUGAUAUUGACUGUUCAAACCCCAAAACUAGCCAAAGCAAAAUAAGAAGAAACCGUAAAAGAAAAUAUAUAUGGAUUUAUGUUAUGCGGUAGCAUGGCUGAUGUUUAUCAUAUUUAGUUUCACUCUUUGUUUUCUUUUAAUUACCUUGCCUUUUGACCAUAGUCAUAUACAUAAUUUAUGAGAUUACAAAGAUUAUAAUUUAAUAAGUUACAUACACAAUGUUUCCAAAUACUACAUAAUAAUAAUAAUAAUAAUAAUAAUAAUAAUAAUAAUAAUAAUAAUAAUAAUAAUAAUAAGACAUCAUAGUAUGAUACAAAUCAAGAUUAAAUUACUAGAACAAUUUUCUUGUUGUUUUUAUUUUCAUUAACCAUUUGACCUCUAAUUUAAUCACUGGUAAUUCAAUUUAAAAUUCCCACUGAUUUUAAGAUGGUUUAUUAUUAUUAUCAUAAACCCUAAUGUUUUUAAUAACUAAUUAUAAAAGAAUAAAAUUAAAAUUAAAUAAUGAAAUAAAUAAAUAAAAUAAAUUUUUUUUACCUAAAAUAUAAAGAAAAAAAUAGAGUAAUUGCUUAUUUGAUGAGAAAUUUAUUUAUGGGAGAGGCAGGAACAAGAACUCAUAAAAAAAAAAAAAAAGUGGCAUAGUAGCUCAUGAAAAUAAUAAAAUAGCAAAGGUAGGAACGCGAAAUACUCUUUGUUAGUCAGGGGACUCUAUAUUUUUAAGCCGGUCCCCUUGAUUUGUUAUAAAAACAAAAGGGAAAUUAAGAAAAAUUUAGGGAAUGAGCUGUGUAUGUAUAUAUAUUAUAUUAUAAUAAUAACUUUUCUUUUUCCGUGCAGUAACAAUUCACAAACCUAAUAUAUUAAUAUUUUAAUAAAAAAAUUAAAAAAAUAAAAAUUAAUUGGACAAUUGCCCCUUUUUAUUUCUAUGUGGCUCCGCCACUGCAUAAGCAUCACUAUCAUAGUUCCUUUGGCUACAUCUAUUAUUUGGGCGGGGUUUAAUUUCAAAAGAGGAUGCAAUAUGUUUGGUUGUUUAAGAGCAUCUCUCUAUGUUUUUCUUUUUUUUUAAUAAUGUAUAUAUGAUUUUUUUUAUAUGCAACUCAAUGAAAAAACCAUUUUAAGAAAUAAACUAAAUUCUCGAAAGAACCAGUGAUGAAAGAAAGAAAAUGGUUGAAAAAAAUGUGGCAGAGCCAAGACCUAAUUCUAACAUAAUAGAAUAAAAAUUUAGCUUUUUUAAAACGGAAGUAUGACAUGACAAAACGAAACUGGCGUCCUUAAAUUACAUUCGUUAUCUAUUAGUUUUUGUUUUUGAAAAAUAAUUUUUAAAAAAUAAUUUUAUAAAUUUUUUUGUGUUUGUUUGCUAUUAAAAAAAUUAAUUAAUAGAAAACAUUUUCCUGUCAAGAAAAAAUUUAGCUUGAUUUCUAUGAAUUUUUUUUUUAUUUGGGUGGAAAAUACUUUCUAGAAGUUGUAAAAAAUUUAAAAAUAUCAUAUUAUUUACUGAUUAUGUUAAAUUUGGUCAUCGAACGUUUGAUUGUUAUAUAUUUUGUUUGAAUCCUUUUUUUUUGUCAAAUUCAUCCCUUAAAAUUUGAUUUUUAUAUUAAUUUUGAUCGUUAUUUUAUGAUUAUUAUUUAUUUUUCUCUUAUCUUUUUUUUUAUUGAAAUUUUUUAUCUAUCAAAUUUGAUCCUUAUUAUUUUGAUUGUUAUUUUAUUUAAAAUAAUUUAUGAAAUUAUAAUUAUAAUUAUUUUAAUUUCAUUAUAUUUUAAUUUUUUUAUCUGUUAGAUUUGAUCUUUAUUAUUUUGAUUAUUAUUUAUUUUAUUUGAAAUAAUUUAUGAAAUUAGAUUUUUUUCAAUUCAAUUCUUAUUCAACUUUUUAAUUUGUAAGAUUUGUUCCUUAUUAUUUUAAUAAACUUAAAAUAAAAAUAAAACAUUAAUAAGCUAUUUCCCAGUUUAUUUUCCAUAACAUAACCAAACACUGAAAAAUACUUUUUAAUUUACUUUUCAUUACACUAUCAAAUAUUAAAAAAUAACUUACUUUCUUGAAUUUUACUUUUCAAUAAAAUUAUUUUUUUAAAAAAAAUAUUUUUUUCUGAAAACAACCCGAUCCUAAGUUAAAACAUGGAAUGCUGGUCAUAAAUUGUUAAGUAAUCAAGACAGGCCACUAAGUGAAUCCUUGUCAGGGGUUGGCACCGCAGUACUAGGUGAUGGUCUUGUUUCUUCUGCUAUCCUUUUCCUCCUCUUCUCUUCUUCUACGGUUUGUGAUCCUACGGUUUGUGAUUCAAAUAGAGGGAGAAAUUGAAAAUUAAAAAAGGCCCCCGUCCCUCACCUCUCGCCCCGCACCAGUACCAGGGCUACAGACAACCAGUUCUAUUUAAGAGCACACAAACUUUCUCCUUGUUAUACAUACUUACAUCUCCUUAUUCACAAAAUUAAGCAUCCUCUCUUGCUCUGCUAGUGUUUCCUUCUCCAAUCUGGUAAUAUUAUCAAUGCGAUCUCUUUCUAAUCUCACUUGAGACAUUACUGCUUUUAUUUUCUUCUAAUUAAUCAUUCCGUUUUGUAGUUUUAAGCCAUGGAUAGUUACACCCUGCACCCCCCUGCACAAGACUCGGCCACAGAAGGCUACUCCCCAGCUGCUAAAGGAGGACUUGCUGGUGUCUUCGUCAUGCUCCUUACUAUCGUCGUUUAUGUAUUCUUCAAGCGCCGAAACUGCACCGUGAGAUUUGAGGUGGAUGUUGAAAUGCCAGAAAGGAGCGUCCAUGGUGCUGCUGGAGGUGGACGUUGAAAUGCAGAAAGGAGCGUCCAUGCUGGGAAAUAAGGAGGUAGCAUGCAAUACAAUCCAUGAAGUUUGUUUUUGGUUUUAUUAAUUGUAUUGCUACAGAUAAAUAUUUGGUCUGUUUUCUCAUAAUAAAAAAAUUCAAGAUCAGACCAUUUUAAUUUGUACUUUUUAUGGUGUGGAUUUUGUGUUGGAGUUAGACUAAUAUCUUCAACUAAUAUCGUCAACGCAGAUAAGGAAUUGUGGGCUUUUUCUUUAAUUCUUUUUUUUUUUUUACUUUACUAAUUGGCGUGGGUUUUUCUAUUAUCAAUUUAUUGCGCGGCCACUUUUUUUUUUUUGUUAUUUAUAUUAAUUUUACCCUCAGGAUCUUAAGAAAAACUAAUCAAAUACUUCCAUAUAUUUUAAAGCUUUCUGACUAUGUUUUUAUCUAAAUUAUACUGUUUUUAAAAUGGUCUUUUUUUUGUAGAGGAAUUAAUGUUUUAUAUUAAUUAUCUCAAUAUAAAAUCUUGAUUGAGAAGUCAAUAUAAUGUAAUGGUAAGAUUGAUUAAGAAAAUAAUUUGGAUAUAAAAUUGAUAAUAAUUCAAUAAUUUGAUGAGAUAUUUGAUAUUUAGCUUCGAAUAAAUCUGUCUUUUUGUGCACUGGCCUUCGAAGAAAUUGCUCUGUGUUUACUUGGAUCGGGAAGUUGGCUGGAAAUUUACAAUCGAUGCAACAGUACACUAAUUAUAAAUGAUCCAUGACUUGUCCUUCCUUCUUGUUUCACUAUACCUUUCCUUUAUUUUUUUGGCAAUCCACAUGCCCUGCACGGCUACCUUUUAUUGACACAAUAUAUAUAUAUAUUCUGUAUCUGAUUUAAAUAAAGUAAUUAAUUAAUUAAUUAAUUAAAAAUCCAAUAGACAUUAUUCUAAAAAAAAUACAUUCCAUUUCUUCUUUAAUUGUUUAACUAGGAUCGAUAGGAUUAUAUGAUAUGACCCAUGUAUUGGGAAAUCCGACUAUUGAUGUACUGAUAAUUGUCUAUUGGAGGCUAAGCAUACUAAUAUAAUAUUUAACGUGGUUCGACAAACCGCUUACAUCCAUGAAAGAUGUUCAUAUUAUUAGAGAUAGAGAAAUGAUACAGUACAAAUACAUGGAGGAGGAGGAUUACAUCCAAUCAAACUCAACUCCCAGCUCACAUUGCUGCCCUUGCAGCUCUUCACUUUCUCUCUUGGUCUCUCAUAAACUCACCACUCUUUCAAGAGUCUACUCCUCCAGGAGUUGCACCUGCCCUCUAUUCCACUCUAAGAACCACGCCUUACUUCUCCAUGAGUCUUUCGCUCUUAGUCUCAAGAGUCCAGGUAACUUUUAACCUUUAACCAUGGGGGUAGCCCAUUAAAGGUUAAUCCAUAUCUGUUUUGAUAUUCUGAGUAUUACAAUGCAAUUACCGAGCUCACCACCUUGACAAGAGUCAACUUGUUCUAGGAACCUACAUAUGCCCUCUGCUCCUACAUAGCAGUCGCGUCUUAAUGUUCCACAAGUCACCCACUUAUUAUCCAAGGCAAAUGUCUUCUAGCUCAUUGAUCUUUAGUAUAAGGGCAAUAUCCAUGAAAGUCAAUCCGACAUUUGUCUCCAUACUCAUCAUAGCCACUUCAUUGGCUAUCUAUACACCUGUCCACUUAUAUCUAGCCAUCACAUUAGCUCUGGGGAGUUCUGUAAUUGGGCUCCUAUCGUAGCCCUCACACCUUCCUUCUAAGGUGUCUCCGCUCGUUGUCAUGCGGCGGUCUGAACUUCGGCUUAUAUCGUGGCCCUCACACCUUCUCCUGAGGUGUCUCCGUUCAUUAUCAUGCGGCGGUCUGAACUUGGGCUCAUAUCGUGGCCCUCACACCUUCUCCUGAGGUGUCUCUGCUCAUCGUAGAGCGGUCUCAUCCUCCAUCUGGGAUGAUUCCAGUGGCUUCAAGAUUCUCUACCACCAUGUGGACUUGGAAGAGAUUACUCCUACUAACUACAUAGAAAGAGAAAGUUGUGGUAUACUCCUCGCAAUCCUCCACCUCGAUUUCUAUGUUUGGAGCUUCUACCUAUUUUUGCUUAAUAGCUCCACCCACACCAAUUCUUUUUGGUGUCUUCGCCUUUCAUAGGCGACCAUCACAGGUGUUUUCACCCCUUCAAUUAGGUGUUUUUGCAACAACUCAUCUUUCAAUCCUUACAUGCAUUGGAAAGGUCUUCGCCUGUUGUCUUCAUCAAGAGCACAAGAGACUUCUUGGUGUACAUCCCUUCACACAGUCUCUGCUCUGAGUUUCAUCUGGGAACUUUUCUUCUCCUUGCACCUGUUGUCUCAUUACAAUACCUCGUUGGAUCCUUCGGGUACUCCUGCACAAUCUCCGUGUGCCCUCGUGCAAUUUAUGUUCUCCAGAUUUUCUCCAUAUUCCCUGUUUAUGUUUGACAGUAGCUCAUCCUAUCACAACACCUAUCCAAGUCAAAAUAGGGUGUCAAUCUUUAUCCCCUUGUUGUAUUUCUCUUCCAUUAUCAGGGUCUUCAUCAAUUCUCCCCUCGAGAAAUUACAGUCACCGAAUCUAACUUCUUUGGAGAAAUCACCACUCCAUCAAAUUCUUGAUUAUACGGAACCUAAUUGUUCCCCUUGUGCCGUCAUCCUGCUAGUCUUUACCAGUUUCAUUACAAAUUAUUACAUAUACGAAAAUAAUAUCGUAUGGAUAAUCCUUUAACUAAGCAAGAUCCCAAUAAAGAUUGGAGGGGUCACAACGGUCCCGCUUAAAACCCAAUCUCCUAGCCAGAACUUCUUAGGCCAUAUCUAUCCAUCGUACUGCCUUUCCGUAUAUAUAACCAUUUGCUAGCUUUGUUGCGGCUUUUCUUUACAAAUAAUCUGGAAUAUUUUUUGUUUAAUACAUGAUUUCCCAACAUCUAACGAGAUUACUAGUGCUUAGAUUCGUCAAGAUUGGUCUUCAUUAGUUUUCACUCUCCACCUUAAAUCGUCCACAUGACCGGGUGUCCAGAGUAUUCCAAUUUUGCCUUCUCUCAAGGCAAUUAAAAUUUCCCCACUAAACAAUUCAGCACAUAUAAUUGGGCAAAUGUGUGCGCCUUCUUCUUCUUCAUCGACUACCAUGAUGACCUUCAGAUGCCUCCUGAUUGGGCAAUCUCUCUUUAAUAAUUCACCACCACCACUUUCGGUCUCAAAUCUUAACGAUUGAACCGUACCAUUGCAUUCGAAAUGAUCAAAUUAGCUGGAAACAAGUCUGAAAUUGUCCAAAUCACAUUUCAGACAGCAAAGAUUUGAUCAAAACAAUUCUGGCCUGAUGAGCAGCCCAGAUUCAAUCUCAGAUCCAGUUGCACGUAGGAUCAGCUACACAGAAUCCUAUCCCUUGGCCCAAAACACCUUGGCUUGUGGCUGAUGAUGUGGCAGAUGGGUCCCACCGUGUUGACGUGUCUACUGAUUGGUGGCUGACAUGGCAUGUCACCUAUGCAUGAUGACGCCAUGAUGAUGUCAUGUUGACAUCGUCCUUAUCCGGGUCAGUCACGUGGUCAUGUCAGCCCAUUCAGGCAAAGAAGACGCGUGGUAUGCGUGAGGCGCGUCUGGGCGCGUGGCCAACCAGCUCAUCGGCUCGUGGGGGCGCGUGCGGCCAUUUUCCACGUUAGAAUUUUACGCCGUUUUCACCGGUGUGCUUGUCUCUUCAUCCUUUACACGGUGGUAUGGUCAAAACAUAUUUUUGACAACUUUUAUUUUUGAGCAAAAUCAAACACCACUUUAAACCAUAAACUUUGAUAUCAAUUGUUGGGAAAUCCAACCGGUAAUGUACUGAUAGUUGCUAUUUGAAGGUUAAGCACACUAACAUAAUAUUUGGUUAAUUAUACCUAAUCUAUGGUUAGUGCAGUUUAACUUCCUUAUCAUAAUACUAUUUUAUGUUAACCUUUUACAAUUGUUAACAAAGUAUUAACACUAACAUCUAUUAAAAAAACAGAUAUCGUUUUCAUUAAAAAAAAAAAAAAAAAGCACUAAUAUCGAGAAAUUAAAUGUUCUAUAGUACAUUCGCAGCCAUUUCCAAACCUUUUCAGUUAUUUUGCUUUAUUUUCUAGCCAGCCAAACAGAUAUCAAACUAAAAAAUAUAGAAACUACAGAUAGAAACAGCGCAAAUCACGAUUCCUUGGUAAAUGUGUGUGUAAAAGAGAGGAAUAUAAUAAAAUAAUAUUUGUUUGUUUGUACUGUAAUCCCCCUCUUUCUCUCCAAUCCUGUAAAAAAUCUUAAUUUAAAUUUGUUAAAAAAAAAUUGAACUUUUUUAAUGUUUUUAGAUAUUUUAAUAUGUGGUAUUAAAAAUGCAAAAUAUUAUUUUGAUCAUCAAAUAGCUAAUCUAUAAAAACAUAGAAACUCCUAAAAAUCAGACAGAAUCAGCACAAAUCACGAUUUCCUUGAAUGUAUAAGAGGGAGGAAUAUAAUAAAAUGAUAUUUGUUUGUUAUGGUUUCGAGUGAGAGAGAGAGUGGCUCGUAGAGUUGGCAAUGUACUUUAAUCCCACUCUCUCUCUCUAAUCCUAUAAAAAAAUCAUAGCUUAGCUUCACAGAAAUUGCUGGCCAGUGAAUUUUAUAAAGCCAAAUUGUAUGUGUGAGAAAAUAGAAAUCAUCCCUCUUAAAUAUCCAUGUCUUUUUCAUCUCGAACACAAUUAUAAUAAUAAAUAUAUUAUUAUUUUUUCAUUGAUUUUUUUAAAAAAAUUAUUAAUUAUUAAUUUUACCAUUUAAUCAAUGUUUAUAUAUGUUAUGUUAUUAUUUUAGGUUUGAUCCUUAUUUUUUAAGUUUUUUUUUGUUGAAUUUAUUUUCCUUUUAAAUUUAAAUCUUCAAUAAAAAAAUUAUUUUUUUCUUUUAAUUUCUUAGUUUUGUCGUAUGCUCUUUCAUAAAUUUUUUAUUUAUUUUUCAUGUAUUUUUCAUUAAAGAUAUUAAACAAAAUUAUAAUAAUAAAUAUAUUAUUAUUUUUUCUUUGAUUUUUUUAAAACAAAAUUAUUACUUUUUAAUUGUACCAUUCAAUCAAAGUUUAUAUAUGUUGUGUUAUUAUUUUAGGUUUAGUUCUUAUUUUUUUAAGUUUUUUUUGUUGGAUUUAUUUUCUUUUUAAAUGUAAACCUUCAAUAAAUAAAUUAUUUUUUUCUUUUAAUUUCUUAAUUUUGCUGUAUACUCUUUUAUAAAAGUUUUAUUUAUUUUUAAUUUAGUUUUUAAAUCAGAAUUAUAUUUAAUUUGAUCUUUAUUUUUUUAAUUUGUAACUUGUUCCCCAUGGUAAAAAAUUGACUAAUUUUAAAUUUUAUCAUUCAAUUUAAAUUUAUUAAAAAUAGUUUUACCAGUAAAUUAUUAGUAGCAUUAAAAAAAAAAAAAAAAAAAACUCUGUGCAUUCAAGCUCACCUAAGAUUCAGUCCAGGUUCCCAAAAAGAUUAUUUAGAAUUCGGCCAGUCGGAUUAUUGCUCUGUAAAAACCUGAAAAACAAAGGACUGUGAAGGAAAUCGAGAAUAAGACAGAAGUUCAAAACCCCAUGCAGUUUCCUUAGAAUAGUUUUGAAACAAAAAAACAAAACCAAAAAAUAUUACUCUUCACUUGCUACUUAUGCACCGCCAUCUCCGUCUUCACAAACCCUAUACAGCUAUACUCACUGUUUUCAAAUAUUCGGUAAUGUUAUCAAUACUAUCCAUUUCUAAUCUUACUUCGAACAUUACUCAUUGUUUUCUAAUUAUUCCUUUUUGUAGUUUUGAGUUAUGGAUGAUGCCAACUUCUCCCCUCCUCCUGCACAAGACUCGGCCAGCGGAGGCUCCUCCUUAUAUGCUUAAGGAGGAGCUGGUCUCGUCUUUGCUCCUCUUUGCUAUCUUAAUUUAUAUACUCAUGAGAGGCCGCUGCAGCUGUACAACUGAGUGUCAUGGUGGUGGUGAUUCCAAGCAGGGCAGUGGAGGGACUCCGAAAGCCAUGCACUUUAAAGAAAAUUACCCAGCGAAAAAGGAAGUGAGAGCACAUAUUACUCCUUAGCUGCUAAAGGAGGAGAUGGUCUCAUCUCGCUCCUCCUUGCACCUGGAAACCUGAGUGCGAUAUUGUUGUUGGUGAUUCCAAGCCAAUAGAGGGACUCUGAAAACCAUGCACUUCCCAGUUCAGAAAUAAGCAUGUAAUUAAUAAGAAGUUGAAGCUGAUUAAGAUUCAUACAAAUUAAUGAGGUUCUUAAAAUUUUAUAAUAUUGUUUUCGUAUUAAUUGCAAGUCUUCUUCUUCGACGUCAAGGUAGCCAUCCAUGAAGUAUGCGUGGACAUUACGUUUGUUAAUUCUCUGCAGCAUGGAUACGCGCCCCGACUAUUGGUUUUAAUAAAAAUUUCAAGAUCAGACCAUUUUAAUUUUUACUUUAAUACAAGUAUAUAUAAAUAAUUGUGUGAAUAUUGUACGUGUUGGAGUUGAACUAUAUAAAUAAUUUUAUCUUUAAUUCUUUCAUUAUGGUUUUUUAAUUACAAUCACAAAACAAUAUCUUGUAUUUUAAUAAAUAUAAAAUAUAAUUUAAACAUCAACAUUCAAGGAAUGUACAACUAUUAAAAUAAAUAAUAUUUUAAAAUGAUAUAAAACUAAAGCCUUUUUUUCAAAAAAUUUAAUCUGUUUUUUCAAAUAUCUUCAAACAAAACACAACCCACUAAGAUGUGUUUGGUAUUGUGAUAGCUGUUGUGGUUGUUGUUUGAAAACAAUUGUUUUAUAAAAAGUACUUCUGGUUGAGCUUGAUUUGGUAUUUAUGUAUGUUUAGUUAAAAUUGUGGUUGAACAAAAAAUAGUUUAAUGUGUUUGGUUAAUAAUGCUUUUGAAAUUGAGAUUAUAAAAUAAUUUUAGAAAAUAUAUAUUAAUAUUGAUGGUUUUUAAUUUAAAUAUUGUAGAUUUAACUAUUGUUAUUACAUCAUGAAAUAAAUAAUACUUCAUAUAAAAUAUUUUUUUAUUGUUCCAUUAAACUAUCUACAAUUCCAUCACGUAUGAAAUACAUCCAAUAAGGACUAUAAUUUUUUUGAUUUCUUAAGCGCGCAACAAAAUCAGGUAAAAUAUAAUUAGGAAGAAAAUUGAGAUUGCAUUUAAAUUUUACAAAUACUAUUGAUUAAUACUUAAAAAUAUAUUUUUAUCAAUGUUUGAUAUCAUCAUUUUACACUUGAAGUAUUAAUAACUCUUUAACAAAAGUAUGUUUUAUAAUAACAAGUCUGAUACUAUAAGAUACCUUUAAUUUAUGGUAAAUAUUCAUUUUAAAUGCAGGCCUAUCACAUAAAUCAAAGGAUUGAUUGAUGAGUUUAACUACAGAAAUUUAAAAGACAAAGAGAGGGCCAAACUUAGAAAAGAGAUGUUGGUUCAGUCCAAACUAAAAUACUGUUCGGUAAUUGGAUCAUAUCUGGAGUUGUAGAUCUCGAAUUUAGAUCUUUUUUAUAUGGAUAAAAAGCUAAGACAUGGGCCUAAAACUUUCAUGGUAGUCCAAGAUUUAAAAAAGCCAUUUUCAAGUCCAAAUUGUAGCAACAACGGAGAAGUCCAAAUCUAUCUUGCAGCCUAGACACUGUUCAGCCCAUAUCUCGAGUUCUAGAAGUCCAAAUGACCUUAAUUUUUUUUCUUGGAAAGCUGAGACAAUUUCCUAGAACUUUCAUGAGUAAAGUUGGUUCAAACUCGUACGUUAUCAAUGACGUUUUGUUUAGACAACAAUAUAAGGAUUGUCAACAAGUCAAAAUGUGCUCAUCCACUCAACAAUUAUUCAUCAAAUCAAUAGUUUCAAAUUUUAACCUAUAAAAGGAGGCAUUUGCCAUGCAUUUAGGCAUCUUGGUUGUUCAUAUCAAGAUCAUGCUCUUUAUUUCUUUCUUUAUAUUCUUGUAAUGUUUAAGUUUUAUUUCAUGUUAUAUUUUUCUUAAUCUUUUGUUUAUGCUUUUAAUUUUCUUCACUAUACUUAUGUUCUUAUGUUGUUUAUUAUGUUUCUCUUCUUCAUUAUAUUUAGCUAAGUUUAUUAUAUUAAGGUGAAAAUGUUUCACUAAUGGUGUUACAAUAUGUAUAAUAUAAACUUAACAUGAACUUCAAUGUUUAUAUCAAAGAAAGUUUGUUAUUAAGAUGUCUUAUCUUUUUAUCUUACUAAUUCUCAAUAUCUUAUUUGUUAAAUGAUUAAUCUAGAUUUGUGUUAUAUAACACUUGGUAUAAUAAAUGCUUGACACUUUCAUAGCCAACUGUAUGGUAUAACCUACACAUGUGCUAUGAAAAGAACUUGAUUUGUUGUUAACAUAAGUUAGCAUCAUGAAUUCCUGACAAUAUUUAAAAGUAUGGUGUUACUUAAAUAAGAUAAUUAAUAUAAUCAUGUUAAAAAUUUAUAAUGAACUAUUAAGGACAAAUCAUCCGAUUGGAACCUUCUUUGCGUGUGGUUUCCAGUUGAUUAAUAAAAAGAGUUUAUACUAUAUUUAUUUAUAAUACUAUUAAUAGAUCCUCUAACCUUGACAAUUGUUUUAUCAUUGUUUAAUCCUUACAUCAAUAUCCCAUAAAAUUCUCAUAAACUCUUUAUUUUAUUUAAUAUAUAUAUUAUUUGUAAUUUAUAUAGUUCACUUCUCUGUGGUUCGACCUCGGUUUUGUCAAAUUAUUUAUUACUUUGACACUCCUGCACUUGCAAUAAGACAUCAAUCUUUUGGUCAUGUCAGCUACAUCAUCAAGCAAUCUUUAUUUAAUUUAUGUAGUGUUAUUUAAUAACAUUAAAUACUAGUUUUUUUAAAUAAAAAACAAUUAAAAUAUAUAUAUAUAUUUUUUUUAUUUUACUGGGUCGAAUCUGGUUCAUUUGAACUAAAAUCGUGAAGCUGGCUAUAUUAUUCAUGUUAAUUAAUUAGGAUGAACAGUAUGUAAAAACAUCAAUUCCCUGAUUUCGUACCAAGGAAACAUGGAGGACUCAUAAAUAAUAAACUUUUUUUUUUUUCACUAAACAACAUUUAUAUUUUAAACAAAACACUGACGCAAUCUCAUUACCCACCGUGCCUUUUUGCAUGGAGCAGUGGCGUUUCCACUUCUCUUUAAGCAACAUGUGCACUCUCCCGUUUCUACUUUUUCUGGAUGGAGAAAAAGAAAAGACGUUUUCGAAAUAACACAGGAGAAUAAAAAAGUGUUAUAAUACAAUUUAAUAUAAAAAAUCUAGUUGAGAUCGUGACGUCUGUGGGAGCAGUUGGGAUCCGAGAUGAUUACACCAACCUUGGUUAGAACCCCGCCCGUGUUCUAUGAAGACGUUCCGACAAAACAUCUAUAGCUGGGAGCCUGGGUAGUGGGUACCAUUGCGAAGGAACUGCCUUUUGCUCCUUUAAAUAAUGCAUUUAAUAUUUAUCUUAUUGAUGAAACACGGAGUUUCAUCAAGCACUUGAUAAAUUUUUUAGUUUUUUUUUUAAGUUUUAUAAUCUCUAUCACACUUCCCAAUCACUGGUCAGUUGAAUAUUCAUGCUAUCCAAACCGAAGCAUGCCAGUUAGCUGGAGUUUUGGGAAUUUGUUCCCUUGUCUUCGUCUUUCAAGCAUAGUUAUUAAAUUUUAAUCGGUCCAGGGAUUAAUCCAAAAUGCGGUCGACCGACUUGAUGACUAAAGUAGUUUGGGUAAAGCAAAAGAUUGGCAGUGUAAAAUUUUGAGUUAUUUUUUUAAUAAAAUUACUGCUGUUAAACUAUAGUCAAUUUUUCAUCUCAAGAAAUUAAGAAAUAUUAUUGUCCAAAUAGAAUGCAAGGAAACUCGUUGUUCCUUAUCUCCAAGUCCUUGAACAUAUUAUGUUGACAGUGAAGAAAGAUGAGGUAGAAGAAAGCGUGGCAGAGGCAAUCAAGAUCUUCUAACAAAAUAGACUAACAACUUACUCUUUUUAAGUGAAGUAUAUAACAUGGCAAAUAAAAUGCGUUUUAAAAAUGUAUCUUUUAAUAUUUUUAAUUUAUUGGUAUAAAAAUAAAUAAAUAAAUAUAUAUAUAUAUAUUGAUAUAUUUUAAAUAAAAAUACUUAAAAAAACCUCCGUACACACAAUAUCAAAAACUCGCUAAAUUAAAUUUGUUAUCUAUUUGUUAGUGCUAGCAUUAAUUGUUGAGUAUAUGAAACUUGUCUGUCAUCUAUAACAUGAAUAUGUACUGUUCUUGAGCCCCUCCCUCUCUUGAAUCAAACUUGGUUGUCUGCUCUAAUUAAAUUCAGUAACCCGUAAUUCAACAGCUAUUUGGAAAUUAAUCAAAGAGAAAAAAGAAAUUGAGGGGGGAAUUGAAAACUGGAAAAAGGGGGAUUUUUGUACCGGGAGAUGAUCAGGUAGAAUAUCACUUAGGAAAGGGAGGAAAUUAUGCUUAAUUUAAGAUUAAUAUUUGUGAAAAUGUUUUUUUUCGUGUUCUUUUUUGAAUAAAAUUACUGAAGAUAGACUGUUGUCAAUCUUUCAUCUCAAGAAAUAUCGGUGUCCAAGUAAAAUGCAAGAAACUCGAGUUCCUUCAAGUAAUCUCCAUGUUCUCUUAACAAAUUAUGGUGACAGUUUCACUUCAAACCCUAAUUACAAUUGAAAUUGCUAAGUCAUGGAUCACACAUAGAUUUUCUCCUCUUGAAAGCCCACGAUAACAGUGAGAAGUCAGGCCCAAAAUAAUGACACCAGGUAGAGAUUUGAAAAUGAGAUCCAAAACAAUGAGUAUUCAAAACACAGCGGGUCUGUGUUAGAUCCAAGUAACCUGUAUUUCGGUUUUUCCGAAAAAAUGAGUAAAUGAGAUCCAAAAAAAUAGUAUGAGGUAUAAUUUCCAAAACAAGUUAAGUUAAUAGUUAAGGAUGAAAUUAAUAAAUAAAUAAAUUAAAAAAGUAUGGGCUGUUAAAGAGUGAAUUGAAAAGAAAAGAAAAACUAAACAAAUAAAAGGAAAAAAAAAAACACAGAACACUAUUCCAGCAAAUAAUUUUUUUAUAAGUGCGACUAAAUUGAUUUAAUCCGCUUUGUCAAAACAUGGAACUGGUUCUUUCAAAAAUUCGAGUUGUCCAAAUGAUAUAUUCUGCGCCAUGAGAAAUGCAAUUCUUGAGAUCUUGUGCCAUCUUUCCAGCAUCUUUAGUGAAGACAUUUACUAAUUAAUGCACAGAAAAUCACAAUGAAAACUCCAAUAUUAUUUUCAAAGGUCUUAAAGAAAAAAAAAUUGAAAUACUUGGACAUAUAAGAGAGUUUUAUGUCAAGCGUGGUUUAAUUUCUCAAAGGUCAAAGGAAAAAAAUGAGAUUGGAGAAAAAAGCCCAAUGUAUGAGGAAAUUAAAAGGGCAAACAAUCCAAACCAAUAAGCCCAUUGACCCAUUUUGCGUCAGCAACACUAAGUUCUUAUCAAACGUGGCAUUGUCGAACGAGGUUCAAAGCAUGUUUAGGACCCCUGCAAGUUAUCAUUAUGAUAUCUAACUAAAUGUCUUGCUUCGCAAGUUAAUUCGGAGGACAUCUUUGUAAAUAAUUUGUUUUAAGAGUUUCAUCUAACUUGUUUGAUUUAAGAAAUAAAAAUAUAAAAUAAAUAUAUUUUUAAAAUAGUUUUGAAAUGAGUUUUUAUCUUUUCAAAAUAAGAAGAAAAAAAAAACAUGUAAUUUUUAUCUUUAAUAUUUUUAUCUCUUCUAUUUCAAACAAUAUCAGUAUAUAUCCUUUUAGCAAAAAUGCUGAGAACAAUUACAAGCCAAGAAUAGUACUAGUUGAUAGUAUUUGUUAUUGUAUUAGUAGUUAUUUUUUUAAGUGUGUUUUAUUUAAAAAUAAUAUAUUUUUUUUAAAAAUUAUUUUUUAUGUUAACAUAUUAAAAUAUAAAAAAUAAUUUUAAACAAAAAUAUUUUAAAUUUUUAUAAAAUACUAUUUGACGCUCGGAUAUGUAUUGCUUCGAGUUGCGCCGCUACCAUUCCUUACCGCGACUGUUUUUUUGUCCAUGUUGCUGCUCAUCUAACGUGUGCGUGUCCGUAGGGUUAUUGAAGUUUCUCACAGUCAUUAAUGUUUUUUGAAAUUUUAAAAAGCCUUCAGUCUUACGACGUAGCAGUAGCAGCAUAAGCACAUCAGGACAGCACUAAGCACAAAGAUAUAAAAUUAACAUUAAAACACUAAAAUUUAUAUAUAAUGUGUCCUCUGAAGCAUUUUUGGUGUUAGAUAAUGUGAGAAAUUAAUUCACGAUUGGAGGAAGGAGCGAUGGGUUUCUUUAUCCAAUAAGUGGUAAAUAUCAAAUACAAAUCCUUUGAAUUUGAAUUAUUUGUUUACUAGUAAGAAUUUGAAUUGCAAUUGAAAUUUCCAAUGUUUCAAUACAAUAUUUAACAGUUUUAUUAACAGAAUUUUUCUAUCGACAUAAGAUAUAUAUUUUAUCAGUAAUUAAUUUACCCACGAAAUCACCGACAGAAAUUCUCUGUCAGUAAAUCUUUUAUCGGUAAUUUUUUAUCCGUCAAUAAAUUCAUUGAUAAUAAAAAAAAUAAUUACCAAUAGAUUUACUGACAGAACAGAUGCGUACAAAAAAUUACCCAUUUCAUUCUGUUAGUAUAUCCCUCGAAAAAUACCGUUGGUAAUUAUUUAAAAACAUUUUAAAAAAAUCUAUUUUAUAAAAUUAUAAAAUUAUAAAAUAAUUAAAUUAACAUAAAUCAACACUCUAUAAUAUAUACUCAAAAUGCUUUGAAAAAAGAAGAAGAAAAUCAACUCAAACAAAUUUGCAACAAAAAAAUAAAACAAAAAAAUAAUUCAACUAAAAAAAUUCAUAUCAAAAAAUAAAGUUGCGAUUGCUGAAAAUUGAAAAAUCAAUUACAUAAAUAAAUUAAAAAUUGAUCUCAUAUGAAAAAAAUAAUCUCACAACAACAUUCAUACAAUUACUAAGAACAAAAACAAUUAAAAAUAAAAUAAAAAACAAAUAUAGUGAAAAAAAUCAUGAAAAAAAAAUAUUACCUUAAUGUAGUUGCAAGUGAAGCUAAGGAGCGAAAUUGUUUUUUGUAAAUCAUAUUAAUUAAAAAACAAACUAAGAGGAUAAAAGAAAAAAGAAGAAAAAGACAUACUCGAGCAUGAAGGAGAAGAGAAGAGAAAGAAAUAGAUAUUGAUGUUUUUUACAUAUAGAAAAAAGAAGAAGAAGAGGAAGUAGAAGAAGAAGAAUAAUCAUAAGAAAUGAGUCUGUCUCUUGUGAAAUAUGGGGACUCAGGCUUUUUAUUGAGGUGAGUUAACGAUGGUUUUACAAACAGAUAAUUAAAUAUUAAUAUUUUUUAAUUAUUUCGUUGGUAAUUUUGUCUGUAAUAUUUAAUUUAAAAUUUCAAUUUCAUAAAAUUUUUUUAGAAACCACCAACAAUCAAUGAUUAUUUUUUAAUCCGUCGGUGAUUCCAUCACUAAUAUUUAAAUGAAAAUUUUUAAUUAAUUAAAUUUUUUUAGAAAACCACCAAAUAAUACCGAUGACUUUUCAAUUCGUCGGUGAUUUUUUCUGUAAAGAGCAACAAUUAACAGUGUAAUUGGAAAGUGAACAGUUCUGAAGCUCUUUGAAAAAUACUGGCGGAAUGUUCCUUCGAUGAUUCCCUUUGUAAUUGAUACGAUGAACAUUGUUCACAAUUUACCAACAAUUAUAUCGAUGGAAUUUAUUCCGUCGGUAAUAUCGUUGGUAAAAAUAACACGUCAUUACUUUUUUGCUUUGUUUUAAAUUUUUUUCCCACUGUAAUUCUCUUGGUAUAUACCGAGAGAAUAUUUCUAUCGGUAAAAUCCCUCGAAAAUUUACCAAUGAAAAUAUUCCCUCAAUAUUUCCGUUUGUAUUUAUCGAUUUUCUGGUGGUGUUUUUACAGGUCAAUUCUUAUUGGUGUACAAAUAAAUGUGUCUUUUUUUGUUUUGAUUUUUUUUUAGAAUUUUUUUUAGUUUCAUCCAUUUCUAUUUGAUUUUUUGUUUGUUUUUAUUUCAAUAUAAUAUUUAUUCUCUUAAUUGUUGCUUCUUUUUUAUUUAUUGUUUUCUUGAUUUUUUAUUUGAAUUUUGCCUCUAAGCAUUUUAUUUUUUUUUCUUUUUUUUCCCUAGAUAUCGUUCUUAUUUUUUUUAGUUUUUUUUUUCCUUCCUUCGUUAUUCCUCUUUGUUUCUACAAAUUAUGCUUAUAAACCCUGUAUUUUUUAAGAUAUAAUUUUUUAUUCGGAUAUUAGGGAGUUAUUCACGCACCGCCUCAACACCACAAGUGUCUCCCAUUUAUUUUUUCAAUCCCUAAAUUAUUUUGUUUGUCAAAUAUGAUCCCUCAAGCAUCAAUGUAAUUGUGUUUUAAUUUUCAAAAUUAGGUAUCAACUAAACACGUGUUAGAAUUUUUUUCUCGAUCAAAAGGGAUUCUCAUAUUUUAAAAAAAAAAACUAUCAAGUUUAUUUAAAAAAAAAAAAAAAACUUAAUAUAGAAAGAAAAAAGAAGAAAAAAAGUUGAAUCUCUCCCCUACCAUGUAAUUCAGUCACUGAUGUUUCCAUGGAAACAGGGCUCAAUACGUGUAAUUCCAGUGUUUUGACGUCAAAGGAAUAUCAUUGGUGGGUUGUGCCAUGGGGACAGUCAUUUGUUUGUCUGUGUAAAAGUGCAAAACAGGCAUAAAACAAUCAACGAUACUUCUUUCAAAUGGGAGUAAAUGCUUCUGAAGAUAUGAUUGAGCUUUGUUAAGAUAUAUGAUCCCUCAAAGAUCUCCACUGCGUAGUGAUCCUUUCAUUAUACGGGAAAGAAAAGGAGCCACGCAGAGGUCCUCGAACAUCAGCCACCGUGGCUCCUUUCAUUAUCCGCUUUGUGCACCGUGGCUGAUGUUUAAGGAGCACACAAACUUUCUCCUUGUUAUACAUACUUACAUCUCCUUAUUCACAAAAUUAAGCAUCCUCUCUUGCUCUGCUAGCUUGUCUCCUCCUGUGUUUCCUCCUCCAAUCUGGUAAUAUUAUCAAUGCGAUCUCUUUCUAAUCUCAGUUGAGACAUUGCUGCUUUUAUUUUCUUCUAACUAACCAUUCCUUUUUGUAGUUAAUUUUAAGCCAUGGAUGGUUACAUCCCACACCCCCCUGCACAAGACUCGGCCACAUCAUGCUACUCAGCUGCUAAAGGAGGGCUUCCUGGUGUCCUCGUCAUGCUCCUUCUUGCUAUUGUAUUUUAUGUAUUCUUCAAGCGCCGGAACUGCCUCGAGAAGGGCGACCACGGGAAGGUUCAGGUGACCAAUAUUGUUAGAAUGGGAGAAAGAAACGUCCAUGCUGGGGAAUAAGGAGGUACCAUACCAUGUAAUAAGAAGUUGAAGCUAAUUAAGAUUCAUACAAAUGAGAUUUUCCUAAUCUUCCCAUAUUGUUUUUGUAUUAAUUGCAGUAAUCCAUGAAGCACACGCAUGCCUCGACUGCUCUUUUUUAGUUAUAUCUACUGUAUUGUUGCAGAAUCAAACCAAUGAAAUGCAAUGGCAGAAAUUCAUUCUAGCGAGAAUGGCUUUGAUACUUCUUUCAAGAUAUCAAUAUCUCCACAGGUUAGGCUGUUCAUCAUGGUGCUGUGUUUUUUUCUGUUCCCCGGAGUUUGGUCAUGUUCUUAUGGUAUGCUCCUUGAGUUGUGCUGUUUUGGAUUCUUAGCUCGAUCAGUUUUGUGUCCAGUGGGAAAAGGAGGUGAACAGGGAGCUGUGAGCUAUAUCAAGAUAUCUAUAUAUGGUUUGUUGUGUAUGCUCAAUCUCCCUAAAUUAUUAUUUUAUCUGCUAAAGUUUGCCAUGGAAAUCGACUCCAACAUGGCAUCAUAAUUGAUAGCAGCCAGCAAAACUUUGACCUCUAACACGUUUAUUUUCUAACAACAUCGAUAGUUUUGUCAUUAAGUUUCAAUCUUUUUUAUUUGGUUAAGGUGUCAUCGUGAUUGCCUUAUAAUUAUGUUCCCUGUGUUCUUUUUCCCCCUGGCAGCUGAGGAGUGAUCAGAGUGAAUUUUGGGCUUUUGAGUGAGAAUUCUAUGUUUUUUUUUUUUGUUGAAUUUAGGAUUUUCAAGAGCCAAGAGUUUACUUGACUGAGAUCGCAGACUUGCUGAUUAUGGCAUGGACUAUUCUGGACAGAAAUAGCAGACCAUGCCUUCAGGCUAUAUAUUCUGUGCUUCUUCUUCUUUUUUCCAACAGAAAAGAUAGCAAACAAGAUCUGUGGCCGCUGUUGCACCGUGGCAUCCAUUCCUUUUCUUUCUGAGAUUCAUGUUGACAGAUUGUACAAUCAAACACAAAAUGCUUUAUUCAGUUUCUCGAUCACAGCCAAGAUUAAAUUCUGCUUUGUGUCCGGUCCAUU